rnacentral:lncRNA from 1 species
UGAAGUUGAUGUGAGCCUUAUAGUUGGAGCAUGCAAUGCAAACCCUGCAGUCUCAUGUUGUACGAAUAGUCGGUGUGAGUUGUCAUUGUUAGACAUGAAUUACCCGGCAUGUGUUGUAACGAUGAUGAUUGUUGGAUUUCUCAUGGUUGAAUUAAUCAUUGAUCAACCUCUGCAUUGAGACAAUGAUUAUGACCAUCAGAUAAAAACAAUAUUCAUCUUUGGAAGUGCUCAUCCAUUAUGAGCCAAUGACAAGAUCUCAUCUUAACAAGGAAAACUUUGUGGAGCAAAUGGUACACUGGUUAUUCCAGAGGACAUGUGCUGUCUUUAUUCUAGUACAUGUGCAUGUAUAAUCUUAUUACAAGAUACAGUGGAUUGUGCAUCUUUACAAGAUCCUUAACUUUUACACAGGGGCAAUAUACAGUGGAUACAUUAUUGUGCAUCUUUACACAGGGGCGAUACACAGUGGAUACAUUAUUGUGUAUCUGGGGUUUGCAAGCUAAUUAAGUGUGUGUUUAAAAAAAAGCUAAUUAAGUGUGUAGACAUCUGCUCCUAAAGAGAAAAUCUGUCAAUUUAUUGGAUGUACAACAUUCUGAAUUGGAAUGAAAUGAGGACUUCCUUCAAAGUCCCAAAGAUUAUUCCUUACGGGGUCCCUUCCGAUUUAGUGUCCCUAUUAAACGGUCAUGUUCAUGUCAGCAUAUAAUGCACUAAAAAAACCAGAGAUCUAAAUAGCCUAGAUGGUUUAGGGCUUUCCUGUUCUUAUCUUUACUCUUUACCUAAUAAUAAAGUAAAUUGGGUUUUCUGGUCGUCCUUCAUACAUUUUGCAAAAAAGUCCCUCUAUUUUUCGUAAAUAAACCCACGGUACACGUUCAAGUCACUCUUGAACCGUUUUUUUUGCAUUUUCUUGGAAACCCCUGAUGUUUUAGGUAAUCAACCCGCCGUCCAUAUUUAAGUCAACUGAAUCAUUUUUUGUUUUAACAUAAAACCCCCCGACUUUUCGGUUAAUCAAUUCGCAGUUUACCUAAAACAAAAUUAUCAAUAUCUUUUAAACCGUAACUCCAAUUUUAAUAUAGUAUGAAACUUGAUUAGAAAAAUGUGUAGAAUCUAAAUAUGAUGCUAUUUUUAGCUGUUAAAUAUUUUUAAAAUAUUAUUUUGGUGUGAACUUAAUCUAUAAUGUACGAUCCGUUUUUCUUUCUUACUGAUAGAGAGGAAAGAAAACAUCGAUAACCACGCAUGCACACCUGUGAAAAACCUCGCGGGGAAAACGAACAUAUUUCUCAUCUUAUUUUGAGCGAGUGUGCGCGAGAGAGACGCCUUAGAACUGACCGCAUUCAAACACGUUUUCGUUGUGUAAGCACUGAGACCACCAUCAACAACACAAAUGUGAUGCCAUAUGAAAAUAAAGGACGUGAACACAUUAGGGUUUUGAGUAAUGGUUAUUGGGUUAAGAACAUGUGUUAUUUACUCUUCCGUUGCAACGCACGAGCUCUUUUGCUAGUUAACAAUAAAUAAAAUUGGGUUUCUGGUCGCCCGUCGUUGCUAGCGAUUUUGCAUAAAAGUCCCUCGGUUUAUAAGAAAUUAACCCGCAAUCCUGUUUUAAGUGAGAACGGAUCGUUUUUUUUGCAUUUUACACAAAACCCCCUACCUUUCAUGCUAAUUAACCCGCGAUCCACAUUAAGGCACUGCGAAUUGUUUUUUGCAGUUUUACAUAAACCCCUCAGAUAUAUGCGUUGAUCACCCUGCAGUGUAUUAAAAAUAAAAAAAUAAUUUUUUUUAAAAUAACCAUAUCUUUUAAACUGUAAGUCCAAUUUUAACAUGUUAUAUAUGAAAAUUGAUUAGAAAAAUAUGUAGAAUAUUAAUACGACAUUAUUUUUAGACGUCAACCAUUUUUACAUUCGGUUUUGGAAAAUAUUUAAAUGUUUAAAAAAUAUUCGUAUCUUUUAAACCGUAACUCCAAUUUUAACAUGUUAUAUAUGAAAAUUAAUUAGAAAAAUGUGUAGAAUAUGAACAUGACAUUAGUUUUUACAAGUCAAGCAUUUUAAAAUUCGGUUUAGGAACAGAUUUAAAUGUUUUAGAAAAUAUUCAUAUCUUUUAAACCUAACUUUAAUUUUAACAUGCUAUAUAUGUAAAAUGAUUAGAAAAAUGUGUACAAUCUGAAUAUGAUAUUGUUUCACAUGUGGUAUUUUUUUCCCGUUGCAAUGCACGGGCUCUUUUGCUAGUUUUACAUAAAAGCGGAACCAGGCUAUAUUGUGUACACAAAAAGCUCGGCUAUCUUGUCAGAAUUAUAAGAUACUAUAACGUAUGCAAGUGAGCAUAGUAUGGUUUGAAAUGAUUGGGGGUAUAUCUGAAGAGAGUGCAAUCCUCUGAAUAACCACACUCUGACACACCAAGCCGCAAUCUUCCUGUUAGCUUCUUGUCUGGAUUUUCUAAAGACCAGAAUGGAACGAUUCCUCGCCAACUCACAUCAGUUCUUAACCAGUCCACAAAAGUAAUCAAUCAAACUAACAUUUGACAUCAAACUGGUUGUCACAGCAGCUAGCUAGCUAAGUAUUAGCCACCCAAAUAUCAACAAACUCAACACCAUUUUGGGAAAACAAUCUAAAAGAAAACUGGACGAUAUUAAAGUACUCCCUCCAUUCCAAAAUAGAUGACUCAACUUUGUACUAAGUUUAAUACAAAGUUGGGUCAUCUAUUUUGGAACGGAGGGAGUACUACUGAAAAAGCAAAGUAAUUUCUGAUGUUGGUGUACGUGUGAGAUAAAAGUUAACAAGACUCCACGGAGACAAUAAAACAUAACUCGAAUGUUAGUAUAUACGUUAUAAUAGUUUACGAAUCUCGUUCCUUGUUUUAGCCACUUACUCUGUACGGAUAAAAUGCCCGAAUUAACAACCACACUUAUCAUGUUCAAUUUUUCAGUUACAAUGAUAAAAAUCAGAAAAGGUUAUAGCCAGUUCUAAUCAUGACUCUCUGUGAACAAGUAAGGCUUUAUGGAUACUCUCUUGUGUUGAAGUAUAUACAUGGAUUUGCCCAACCUUGUCCAUCGGUUCGGACUUUUGGUUCUACUGGUCGGUUGGUGCAUGAAACUCAAUAUCUUCAAUAAUCUCAUUGCUGUCCAACCAUUUUCCCCGUAAAUUUUAUAGAAAGGGUAAAAAGUUUUGAAAUAAUAUGGCUGCAAGUUAAAUAGUUGUGCUCUCUAACAGUGACUAGAAGUGCUGCUCUAAUAAUCCCUAGAAUGCAGGCAGCUCUGAAACAACCAGCUGCAGCUAAUCGUAACAUCAUAUUUGUCACUUAACCAAAGCCACUUUGUUGGAUAGACCAAGUGCAUCCAAAUCCCAGCAGAUCAGAUACUCUUGAACUAGAACACAAGCGGAAUAAAAAUCUUGGUUAGGCCCCUUGGGCGACAUCCAAGAAAUAUAGAGCAUGAUUGGUUUGAUGCCAUGCCAACAUUUGGAAAUUGCCAAAUAUUGGCUAGUGCUUGGUUGGUUACCAUGUUUACUUGCCAACCUCACAAGAAGUUGUCAAUUUUUGGCAACUUCUGAUGUUGCCAAUUGUUGGCAUCAAACCAAUUUCCAAAUGAGAAGAGGCUUCGUUCACCUCUGUGCUUGUGCUUGCGACUGAUAGAACCUGCCGAUGCGACCGCGGUUGGGGGGCUUGGGCUUGGCGGGCUUCUUCUUCGGGCGCAGGCCGGCGACCUCCUGCACGAGCGGGACGUGCACCAGCACCGUCCUCCAUGCCACAUACCAACCCGAGGGAUCUCAAUCUGGAAACCAGCCAGACGAAAGAAAGAAAAAAAAGGAGGCGGUCGUCGUACGUACUCAGGAGGAUGAAUGAGAGGGCGAAGAAGACGACGAGGAUGGGGCGGAGGACGAAUAGUUCGGCGAGCUCCCACGCCGUCUAGGCCAUGGCGCCGCCGGCCUUCCUUCUUGGGGAGGGAGGGAGGGACGGAGAGGAUCGGAAGGGGCAACAGAGAAGAAAGGAAUCUCGUUCGAUGCCAGGAGAGGCCCACGAGUCCAUGACGUGUAGGUCCGUCCUAGGCUAAGAGAUCGCUUCCCCUCUUUUACUACUCGUUUAAGCGAAGGUGCCUCUAUUCCUCACGCCUCCUUUGUCUGCCCGCGUUGGCGCGACAUCAUGGCCGACCAUAAGUUCCUUUGCCGCUUCCGCAAGCACCAUCAAAACCCUCUCUGCUUGGCUUCUUCGCAACGGGUUUACUCAUUAGUGUGACAGUCUGCACUUACUCAUUAAUGUGGUUGAGCGUGGAGAUAAGAGAAAGGCUAUCACUUCCUUGUUCAUGCUCAUGUCUUGGGAGAUUUGGAAAGAGCGUAAUGGAAGGGUUUUCCGUAACAUCGCCGCUACGACGAUGAUGCUCAUCGCGAAGAUAAAAGAGGAGGCCCAUCUUUGGGCUAUUGCCGGUGCCACCCACUUGAGUAUUGUAAUGCCGCGAGAGUAAAUAUUUGUCUCCCGCUUUGCAGUCGUUUGUCUUAAAUCUUCUCCCUUAAUCAAUGAAAAUGGCAAAUCUUUUGCCUUGUUUCAAAAAAAAAAAACAGUCUGCACUUCUGUCCUUGACUCACCUGACCGCAUCCCUGCCGCCCGCUUCUCAUGCCGCACAACUCCAACCCCAACAAGAAAUUGCGCUUCAUGGGCUGCCGUCAUGGUCAUAUUCGAAAUUUUGCUACAUGCCACCAUGCCAACGGGUUUGAUUGUGUGGGAUCCACUCACCGGUGAACAAUACAACCAUUUGACAAUUCCAGCGAGGCUCAAGGGCGACAAAUGAAAGUGUUGGAAUGCCACUGUGUUGUGCACUAAUGUCGAAGAUGGGCAUGUGCAUGGUGAUUGCUUCUUAGACCCGAGAGAUAUUGUCUCUGUGGUGACCAAGGAAGUAAUUCUAUCCCUGAGAUCCAGCAUCCUUGUUGAAAAUGUACUUUACUGGUUGUUUGUUGGAGGUGACGUCCUUAUGCAUGAUUUUGAAAGGCAGAGUUUUGGUCUAAUUGAGAAGCUAGUAGACACAGCUAAGUGCCAUGUCGAGUUUUCUUAUCAACUCUUACGGAUAGAGGAUAAUGGACUUGGUCUCACCGUUGUGGUCAAUACUAACAAUCAAAUUAUGGCAGAGGAAAUCCAACUGUGAUGGUGUUAUUGGAUGGGUGUUGUUGAAGAAAAUUUCUCCAUUGGACGGGUUGUUUCCGCAAACAAUGCCCGGAGAUCACAUGUGGAUACUUCUGGUGGGGUAUGAUGAGGACACAAAUAUGAUUGUUAUGUCUAUGAUGAGUGGCAUUUUCAUGCUCCAACUUGAUUCUAUGCAAAUCAGACACAUUUCUAUAAGAACUAAUGUACGUUACCCAGUCAUUUAUCCAUACAGGAAUUUCUAUACUCCGAGUAAUAUCUCACCAUCUAGAUUGUACAAACUACAAUAAUCCAAUUAAAUUUUAUUUGUUAACAUUCAUUCUAGUUACUUUUAGUUCCUGUUCCUUGGUUAAGGAUGGACUAGAUACAAAAAAAAUUGCAUUUCUUGUUCAUUUCUUAGUAUGUGUGGUGAUCAUAUGGUGAUGUAAUUUCUUAUACUAGGCUACACUUUAACUAGAAAGGGGAAGAACCAUAACAAUUGUUUUCUCUCAUUGAUCUUUCCGCAUGAGUUUUCUAGCAACUGGAAACUGGUAACGAUCACACUAAGAUAGUAUAGUGAAACCAUAUAAUAUCUAAAAUAGUAUUUACGAUAGGUGCAUUGGGAAGAUUAAAGCAUGUUGUCUUUCUCAUUCACUAUUUUUCUUCACAGAUAUAUCUUGAUAGUAAUCAUCAAUUUGAAUAUCAUGUAUUUUUCAAUGAAAAUAGUACUAUGUCAUUUUCUUAAUAUUUGUAUUACAUUUUGGCCCAUUCAAUAUAUCUAGUACAUGCUCUCACAAGAAUAAUUAUGGAUUACUAUUUUUUUCUGAACAUGUAAAUCGUCUCUCUCAUGAAGACAUAUUAUUAUUGUUGUUUCUUGAUAUUAAUCCCCUCUCAGUUAGAGCAAACCAUAUCAGUGAAUUUGAAUAGGUGAACAGAAGGGAGCCCAAGCCAGGACUGCUACAACUACACAUAUGUUGAAUUGCGGAAUAUGAGAAUGAUAUAUAUGACCUAGAAGGCACAUGUGGGAGAUGGAAUGAACGAAUAUCAUAUAAUCCAAAGCUAUGUAAUUCCUGAAUACUUUUAUCACCAUAUAUCUAGUAUAGCUAGCUGAAACUCAAUUGCUAAGAGAUGUAAUAAUUGACAAAGCGGUGAAUCCUACAUAAGACUUUUAGCCCAUUAUGGCAAAUUAUUGUAAUGUUAGUGACCAUCUCUAGCUAUUCCAUGUUGCAAUAUCAGACAUGGCUUAUUAUCUGACAAAGAUGAUUUUCUCAAGUCAUAAUCCAAGGGUCAGUGUCAUCAUAUAAGUUAAUAUCAAUCAUACCGUAGAGCGUGGAUUCACCACUUUUUUGCAUCGGGAAACAGAGGAGGCAAGAUGAGUAAGUAGAGAAGAGACGCGUCGAGUCAUAUCUUGAUAAAUGCCCUCGACACUCAAAUUUCCAUUUUAGAUAUCCAUCUCCAUCAAUUGUUGUCCUCAUAUUCAUUACCAAGGAAAUAUUUAUUGUAAAUCAUAUUAUUUAUUACAUGACAUAUUUUAGACUUUGAUUGUUGCUUCUAUAUUAGAUUUUUUGUUCUUAUUGUUUUUUUGUUGUUGAAAGGUAGAGAGAUAUUUUAGUUGAGAUAUUUUUAGCAAUCCAGGUGAAUGAUGGAGAUGGAUAUUGGCGGGCAUUGGGUACCUCCCACACCAUCAUCACCAGGCCAACACCAGCCUUGGGGAGAGGAAAGGGGGGAAAUUAAUCUCCCACACUCGUUGAAGCAAAGGAACCCUAAACCUUGCUUGAGGGAGGAUAAACCAACAAAAUUCAAAUUGGGCGCUGAUCAAAAUCAUAUUUACAUGCGAUCCUAUACCUACGAUCAUAUCAAUAUAUUCACAAAUCGAAUCAAAUAUCAAAUGCUAUUCUGAUCAAAUUCAGAGAUAUCUCUCCCAUUAUAUAAGAACACAUACAUCAUGUUAAACCAUGUUGUUCGUGUACAUUAAUGGAUAUCCCUUUUUAGGAAACUACAUGAUUUACAACAUAAGUGUACGUAUUUAAAAAAAAUACAACAUAAGUGUUCAGAAUUCUUCACCGCGAUUUGGCCAACAAUAAAAUAAUACCCUCUACACCACCCUUUUUAUGUAGGACGCAGUAGGCCAAUCAUACACUAGGGCCUCUUUGAUUCACAGGAUUUUAAACACGCAUGAAUAAGCAUGAUUUUGGUUUGUUUGAUUGCAUCAUAGAAAUAAACAAAGGAUUCUUUUAAAGAGAUUUGAGUGGGUGCUAGAAAUCCUAUGGGAAAAAGUACAAAGAGAUCCAUAGGAAAAUAUCAUAUAGGAUUCAAUCCUAUGAAUCAAAAAACCAACAUAUGAAAAAUUCCCAGGGAUUCUAAUACUCCAAAGUUCCAACGAAAAUCCUUUGAAUCUAGGGAGCCCUGAAAUGUCCUUCCUCUUCCAAAACUAAGAUGGGGACAACUACUCAUGCUAUCCCUUAGAAGAUGUGAAUGAAAUGUCAAAUGUUAGUGUGGUCAAGUACUAAUGUUCUACUUGCAAAGGAAAGAUAAACCUUCCAACGAGUUCUACUAGAAGAUAGCUGCCAUCAUGUUCACAAUGUUUGGAUAGCCCCAAUAUUCUUUGACAUUUCCCUGUAAAAGCUAAUACACAAUGUGUAAAUUAAUGAACGAACAUCGCGAUCCCAAAAUACAGCGACAAAGAAGGAAAACCUUCCUAUAGUUGCUAUCCAUGCUCUCUUAUGUCUGCAUUUCAACCAUCAUUGUCACACACUUCCUCUUGGUAGUUUUUGUGGCCUCACUGGUAACUUUGGCUGGCACAAGUUUUUUAACAGGUACCUGGUCAAUAAAGAGAGCAUUUUACGCCCAACCAGCAUACUUGCCAAAUUUGGUUACAAAUGCAUCGGCAACAAGAUUGCUUAGUUUUGGAGUCAGGCUCUUGCCAGCUAGCUUGGGCAAUAUAUUGUGUAGCAAACUGUGUUAAGUCCACAUGGUUAGGGUUUGAAGACUCAACCAAAAUAGGCUUUUAGAUCAUAUAUAAAACAUAUCCGAAGUCUAUCCUCAAGGAACCACAUAGAGUUUUGAAAGAUUCAACCCUUUGCUAUGAAUAGCCAUGCCUGCCAUUGUUUUGAAAAAAAUGAAAGAAAUGGAAGAAACUUUCAAAAAUGUAAUUCUUUCGCAUGGAGUCCUUUUAUGUCUAUGAACUGUGAGGGAAAAUACCAAGUUGCAAUAUGACAUUUUCUUUAAAAUCCUUCACAAAAUGGGCUAUCAUGUAUGAACAUCCAUUGCUUUCAAGCCAAAUGACCAAUGUGAUGGUCAUGUCCGUUGCAUAGUUUACGAUAAUGUGCCCAAAUUGGGUCUAUCUGUGCAUCUUGCCAUUAGAAAGAAUGUUGCCAAAUAGAAUUUCCAACUUUUUGUACAAAAAGACCAUUUCCAUUUUCUGAGUGCCAAAAAUAUUUUUUUUCAAAACAAUGUUCUAAAAGUAAUUCAAUUUUGAACUGCCGGCGUGUGAUAUCUUGUUCCUAAAACAGUUCUAACACUGGUCAUAAGAGCAUCCACUAGUCCAUUUAGGUGGCAUUUUGACCAACCCCUGAGUUAGAGGAUAGAACCUGCUCGACCACCUUGACUAGAUGACUAUAUUCUUUGAAAACAUAUUUGUGGGCAUGUAGGAUAGCAUCAUUCUAAAAAAAUAAACUGACUUUGAAAAGAAAGUUCAAAAACAGAAAAAAAAUAUAACAAAAUAAUGCAAGAAAACGGGUAGCAAAGGAAAACUAAUUGCAGGAAUAUAAUUCAUUUUCCCGGUAGGUAACCAAGAGAUAACAUCUAAUGCUCUAAAUUUGUUGGUUUGCCCAUAUUAUGUCUAUCCAGAUAUAUUUUAUGUCCAAGUUCAUUCAGCAAAGUUCAACUCAGCUUAAAUGAAAAUUUGAAAACACAAAUAACCAAGAAGAUCUCAGUAACAUUUGAAUUAACAAAAAUGUUUUAAUAAUAGUAACAAUAUGCUAGAGAUGUGUUUUAAAUAUGUUUCAAACUCCUAUAAAUUUAGAUUUUUGUUCACAUGUGAUGUGCUUUUUAAUAUUGCUAGCCCGUGCAGUUGCACGAGUUGACGACCAGUUAAAUUAGUUAGCUGACAGCUGAAAGGGACCGGCGUAGUGCUACAGUUCUACUGGUUGAGCCACAUACUAGUACAUAUGCUCAUUCUAUAACCAAGGUUUUUAGAUACCUUUUUUUUAAGUUAGGUUUUUAGAUACCUGACAAAGUAGGUGGGGUAUUUUUUUUUCGCGAAUCGACAACAAAGUAGCUAGCCAGCUUGAAAUGCUUUCCCCCCCGCAAGAAAAGGAAAAGUUUGAAAUGUUUUCUAUACACAUCUCAAUCAACUCUGACACGUAUUGAUUACAAUACUAGAGGUUCAAAGCGAACUUCCUUAAGUUGAGUACUUGAUUAUAUUAACAGAGCUGCAUCCUAGUACUUACUGAUGCUCAUUUUAGAAGUAAAAUUUGUCUUACACGUACGGAGCGAUAGAAUCACUAUCAACUCCGCCACGGGCGACCUGCUCAGUUGCCAUUCGCUCGGGUUUUACCGCUCCAACACUCAGCGACACCAUCAAAUCCAAACGCGUCGUCAUUACACAAGCACAAGUGACCCCAAAACAAGACGUUAAUUAAUCCCAUAUCGAGCACACCGGCCGGGAAUAGACUAGCCAGUGACGCAGUUCCGAAACAAGAACCAAUGCAAGAAAGACAGCGGUGCACACGAGACAGCGAUGGUUGUCUAUAUAAACCGCCGGAAUCCAACGCCAUAAGCAGCACCACGAGCAAGCCGAUCCAGCGCAUGCAAGCCUAAGCGAGCAGGAGCUUCACAUAGGCUUAGCAAUGGCGUACGCUAAGCUCGCAGCCCUGGCCGUGCUCGUGGUCCUACUGUGGGCGUCAACCGGCACCGUGGCCCGCUCGUCGCCGGCCGUUUCGACGUCCAAGGUCGACGGCAUGCCGGCGGUGAUGACGGUCAACGGGUUCGAGCGCGGCGAGGACGGCAGCGGGCCGGCGGAGUGCGACGGCAAGUACCACAGCGACGACGACAUGCUGGUGGCGCUGUCGACGGGGUUGUACCAGGGCGGGGCCCGGUGCUUCAAGAUGAUCCGCAUCACCAGCGCGGGCACCGGGCGGAGCGUGCAGGCCAUGGUGGUGGACGAGUGCGACUCCAGGAAGGGCUGCAAGAACAACAUCGUCGACACCUCCAAGGCCGUGUGGAAGGCGCUCGGGCUCGACACCAACGUCGGCGAGGUGCCCGUCACAUGGUCCGACGCCUGAGUUAAACGUGUCGAUCGGUCGGCCGUUGAAUAAUUGGCUGCGCGUGAGCGCGCACGGCAGCUGGGGGCAUUCAAAAAUGCCAAUGUCUCUUCUGUUUUCUGUUUCUACAAUUCUACGUGCACCUAAGUAUGUACGUAUGCGUAAUAAAACGGACAUGGUGUGUUUGCUCCCGAGCUCAAAUGCUUCCUGACAGUAAAGAAAAAAUAUCAAAACAUUUCAAAAGAUUUUGAUUAUUUUUUGGUAAACUUUAACAAAUGUUUUGUAUUCUUGCAAAAUUUCAGCACGAAAUGACAUUCGUGAAAGUCGUGGCAAGAAAACAAAGUUGAUGUUCCAAAAAUGCUAGUUUUGAAAAUAUUUUGGAGUGCUGAUUUUGUUUUCUUUCACUCCUUAAAUCACAGUCAUUUCGUGCUGAAAUUUUGCAAGAGUACAAAACAUUUGUCAAAGUUUACCAAAAAAAAUUCAGAUUUUUUUAUUUUACUGUUCACCAGGGAACAUUGAUCUCGGGUGCAAAAUAGUACUUUCGAAAACGAGGUUUUCUUUCUCAAGAUCGAUGGGUGAAGUGUGAUCAUAAUUCCUAGAAUGUAUGCAUGCAAGGAUAUGUAAGAUCAAUCCAGUUAUCAAGAAGCUGAGCUGAGUAAAAAGAAUCUAAGUAUUUGCGGGUGGGUUUUGGGCUGGCGGGGCAAUGACAACAAUAGGACGGAUGACAAUGCCUAGGAGGUUGGCAGCAUAUAAGUGAGUCACCGAGCUCAAUGUAGGUUUGCGACGGUCGGUGUAGAUUGAAAGGCGAAACUCAUUCUCCAUGAUGGAUGGUUCGAUCAAUAUUGUUCGUCUCAAUGGAUUCUCAUAUUUGAUAUUACGAAAACCUUGAUUUGAACAGGUGGAAGGGAAGCAUGGACACGGAGAAAAGGAUUUGUGAACGCAUCUUGGGCAAUGCUUCCAUGGUGUCAAAAAGCAUCUCUGCAUGGUUGGAACUUCGUAAUGGAUGAAAGCCGAGAAGCCCUGGCAAUGGAGCCAAAGACUCUGUUGAUGCUGCAGCAUGAGUUGAAGUUCAACCAUUUUUUUAGUUCAUUUUAACUACAUGCAAGUCGCCUAGGAAAUGAAUUUGAUAUAGUCGUUUUUUAGCCAUUGAUUUCUGCUUCAAGAUAUAUUUGUGCUUUUUGUUUUCUUUCUAUUGUGUCUUCUAUAAUGUUUUGGGCCAAAAUUUUUGACGGACCACUUCUUUGGGUCAGUCGAUUCAUUAUUGGACUGAAGCCCAUUUCAUGUUAUAUAGGCCGACGAUGCUUCCUGUUUUUCUUCUGUUUCUAUGCCUCCUUUUGCUUUCUUUUUUCUUUUUCUUAGUCCGUUUUUAUGGCUAUUUUUGGGAUGUUGGCUGAGUGUAAAAUGUAUACACACAAAUUUUAUAUAACAUGUGUAUAAAUUAUAUUAGAGUGUGAAAAUUAAACUAUUAUAUGCUUAUUUGUUACUCCCUCCGUCUCAUAAUAUAAGAGUGUUUUCGACACUAGUAUAUUGUCAAAAUACUCUUAUAUUAUGGUACGCAGGGAGUACAUACUAAAUAAGUGCAAAGUUGUGUGCACUUUUUUCAUUUUCUUUCUACUUAAAGGAAAAAAUUUAUUAUUUUAUUACAUUUUAGUUUUUGUGUCAUUUCCGUUCUUUUUAAGGUUGACACUAAUGUCUCUAAUUCAUUAAUUUGUAAGAAACAUCUUUUUUCCGAAAAUCCACUAGUAUAUGCUCAUUCUUGCAUAUUAUAAAAUGCAUAACUUAUGUGCAAUUUUUUGCAUUUGUUUUUUUUUCAUUUUCCGUCUUCUCAAAUGGUAAUAACGAUGCCACUAAUUCAUUCUCCUUAGAAAACUUCAUUAUUUUGUUUUUGUUUUAUUUUUUGCUUAAUUUUGUUUUUCUUCAUAGAUAAUACGAAUGCCACUAAAUUCAUUCCUUCUUAGAAAACUUUAUUUAUUAAAAUGCAUGUGUUAUAUGCUUAUUCUUUCAUAUUAUAAAAAGGUGUAACUUCUGUGUAAUUUGUGUACAACUUUUGCAAUUAUUUGUUUUUUCCUUUCUUUCUUUUCAAAGGGUAAUACCAAUGACAAAAAUUCAUUCUUCCUUAGAAAAACUUCAUUAUUUUGCUUUUCUAGCUUUUGGUUCAUUUUUGUUCUUCUUUAAGGGUAAUACUGCCACUAAAUUAUUUCCUUCUUAGGACACUUCAUUAUUGCAAAAUUCCACUAUCUUAUGCUUACUCUUGCAUAUUAUAAUAGAAGCAUAACUCCUUCGUAAAUUGUAUGCAAAUUCAGGAAUUAUUUUUUUAUUUACUUUCUUUCUAGUUAAAGGGAAAUACCAACGCCACUAUUUCAUUAUCUCUUAGAAAACUUCAUUAUAUUAAUUUAAUUGUAGUUUUUGUUUCAUUUUAUUUCUUCUUCAAGGGUAAUACGAAUGCCACCAAAUUCUUUUCUUUUUAGGAAACUUCAUUUUUUUUAAGAUUCCAUUAUUGUUUGAUUAUUUUUUCAUAUUAUAAAAUAAGUUCAUUUUUUCUAAACUGCAAUUUUUUUCAUUGUUAUUUUUAUUUAGUUUAAUUUUCUUUCUUCUUAAAGUGUAAUAUCAAUACCACUAAUUCAUUCUUCCUUACAAAACUUCAUUAUUUUAUUUUAGUUAUAAAAUUCUUUCUUUUUAAGAUCACUAAUUUAUCCCUUCUUAGGAAAUUCCUUUUUCUGAAAUUGCACUAUUUAUAUGUUCAUUUUUGCAUAUUAUAGUACGUGCAAUUUCUGUGUAAAUUGUGCGCAUAUUAUUCGUUUUUCUAACAUUUUCUUCUGAAAGGGUACCAAUGCCACUAGUUCAUUCUUCCUUCUAAAACUUAGUUUUUCAUUUUACUUUUAGGUUUUUCAUUCUUAUUUUUAAGGAUGAUACCAAUGUCACUAAUGUAUUCUUUCUUAGAAAAUUCAUUUUUCCUAAAUUCCACUAUUACAUGUUUAUUCUUGCGUCUUAUAAAAAGCAUUUAUUUCUGUGUAAAUUGUGUGCAAUUUUUUCAUUUUUUUCUUUAGAACCAAGGUUAAUACCAAUGCCACUAAUUGAGUACUUCUUUGGAAACUUUUUUUUUGUGACAUUCCACUAGUACAUUGAUUCUUGCAUACUAAAAGAAAUCAAUUCAUGUUUAAACUAUGUGCAAAUUUUAUCAAUAUUUAUUUAAGUUUUUAUUUUAUUUUUCCUUAAAGUGUAAUAUCAAUGCCGCUAAUUCAUUCUUACUUGGAAAACUUAUUUUUUUUAUUUUUUAUAUGUUUUAUCAUUUAUUCUUUACAGGCGACUAACCCCUUUUCUUCUUUUCAUUAUUAGGUUAACAACUCAUAGAAAUGUAUACCAUGGUUAUGAAAAGGAAACUGUGAUAUUCAAAGUAAAAUGUGAAUUAUGCUAAUAAGUAAAAAAUGAAUAUGGGUUAGUGUGCAUUCCAAUAAUUUUAGUUUCAAAUAAUAUUUCAUGAGACAUGAAGUUAAAAGUGCUAGCACCCAUAGCAGGCGCAUGUACGCACAGGGCAAAACCCAUUGAUUGAGCCUGGGCCAACCUUGCACCGCUAGCCGAUGCUCUCGUUUAGAUUAACCGCUUGGGGAGCUCCUAUGCUAGCCGAUGCUCUCGUUAGAUGAACCGCUUGGGGAGCUCCUAUGCUAGCCGAUGCUCUCGUUAGAUGAACCGCUUGGGGAGCUGCUAUGCGCCGCAUUUUGCGGAAAGUAGCCACCCGACGCACACAGAGGCAGCAAACUGGGCCGGCCCAGGAGCGGGUCGCACCUGCAAAAUCCAAAAUUAAUGCGCUCUAUUGGGUUCGAAAUACAAGACCUCACGUACACGGGCUAAUAACCAGCGCAGCUAAAGAAACUUGUGGUUCAAUCUAGCUCGGGGUUUAAAUAACGCAGUAUUGUUAGAUUGAACAUUUUCUGAAAAUUCAAACACGUUUUUUAAGGAAGUAAAUGGUUUUUGAAACACGAAAUAUUAAGAAAAACCGAAUAAAAUUUUCGAAAUUUUUAAAAAAAUCAUUUUUUUAGAAAAUGGAAAUAUUUUUUGAAAUUUUAAAUAAAGUGGAAACACGAACUUUUUUUAUACUCAGAAUAAAAAGUAAAAACAUGAACAUUUUUGGAAUUGUGAUCCAAAUUUCAAAAUACGAACAUUUUUUGAAUCAAUGAAUAAUUUUUGAAACACGUACAAUUUUUUGAAAAAACAGACAGAAUUUAUGAAAAAUGCAAACAUUUUUGAAAAAUAGGAACAUUUUUUAUAAUUCACAAAAAAAAUAUGAAAGAAAAUUGAACUGGGACAUUUUUAUAGUCUCAAAAACCGCAUGGGCAAAGCAAAUGCGCCAUAGAUGAGGUUUAACCUCUCCAACAUGCUUAGAUCUCAAGUGGAUUUUGAUAGUCUAGCGGUGCCCUUCACGCAUGAUGAGAUAGAUACUAUGAUCAAGGAAAUGCCUCCCGACCGUGCUCUAGGUCCGGAUGGCUUCAACGGUGCAUUCUUGAAGGCAUGCUGGCCAAUCAUUAAAGAGGACUUCUAUCAUCUCUACAAUGAAUUUCACGAUGGCACCCUCAACCUCAAAAGCCUCAACUACGACUAUAUCACCUUGAUACCCAAGACCAGAGCUCCGAAAUCUGUCAAUGAUUUCCGUCCAAUAACUCUACUCAACUGCUGUCUCAAGUUGAUUACCAAAAUCUUAGCCAACAGACUUCAAAGAGUGAUCUUGAAAAUUGUGAUCAGGAACCAGUAUGGCUUUCUGAAGGAGAGAUCCAUCCAUGACUGCCUAGCGCUUCUCAAGUUGGACUUUGCCAAAAUGUUUGACACUGUCGAACACUCUGCAAUAAUUCAGAUCAUGCAAAGCAUGGGCUUUAAUGCUAAAUGGAUAUCUUGGUUCAAAUGUAUAUCAUCCUUUGGGAAAUCUUUGGUUCUGCUCAAUGGCGUGCCGGGGAAGCAAUUUUGGUGCAAAUGUGGGGUACGACAAGGGGACCCCUCUCUCCCCUGAUUUUUGUGCUAGCCACCGACCUCCUCCAAAUGGCUAUCAAUGAGGCCCUGGCAGAUAACCUAUUGUAGCUACCCAUUCCAGCGGCGGGUGAGACCAACUACCCGGUGAUCCAGUACGCAGAGACACGAUCAUCGUUAUGCCCGCAUGUGUUGAGCAAGCCGCACGUAUGAAGAAUAUUCUUGCAGAUUAUGCCGCCUCUGUUGGCCUUCAUAUUAACUUCCACAAGUCUACUUUGAUCCGUAUCAACACCCCGGCGGACAAAUGUAAUGAUCUUAUCCAUUUUCGGGUGCACCACGGCGGGCAUGCCAUUCACCUAACUUGGCCUGCCGCUUGGGACCACUAAACCCACGGUGCUUGAUAUGACUCCUUGGGUGUGCAAGGCUGAGAGCAAAAUCGCAGUUGCCAUGUCCCUAAUGUCCUACGCUGGCAAACUAGCCCUGAUGAACUCACUUGUCACAUCGCUAGCCAUAUACCGGAUGGGAGUACUGAGACUCUCCCAAAAAAUCAUUGAACAACUUGAUAAGAUCAGACGACACUGUCUUUGGAUUAGAAAAACGGAUGAUGGGGACAAGUAUAAUUCUCUGGCUGCUUGGGAUAUGGUCUGCCGGCCCAAGGGAAAUGGAGGUUUGGGAGUACUUAAUCUCAAAAUAUAGAAUGAUGCGAUGUUGCUUAAACUACUACACAAAUUCUACAACCAACUGGAUAUACCCUGGGUGAAAUUGAUUUGGGACACUUACUAUGCCGAUAUGGUCCCUCAUGCAGCAUCCGCUUGCGGUUCCUUCUGGUGGUGUGAUCUGGUGAAGCUCAUGCCAAUCUACCGCGGAGUCACCAAAGUACAAAUCCAUGGAGGUUCGACAACCCUAUUUUGGAAAGAUGACUGGAAUCACCACAUUUUGGAGGAACAUUUCCCACGAGUGUUCUCCUACACCACUUUGGAUGGUGCCUCUGUUAGAAAGAUGCUCACAAUCUCCAACAUCAGUGAAGCCUUUCAACUACCUCUUUUGGUGCAAGCACACGAGGAACUAGGUCUAUCCAACUUGAGGUUAGCUCUACCACGAUCACUGAGGCCAAAGACGGAUGGAUUUGCACUUGGGGUGCGUCAGUAUUCAAAACCACUGCAUACUAAAAAUUCUGUUUCAGAGAGGUCGUUGUUGAUGAGGCAUUCAAGUGGCUAUGGAAGGCCAAAAGUAUUCCUAAAAUCAAAGUCUUUGGUUGGUUCUUGCUGGUCGAUCGCCUUAACACACGUAACAUGCUCAAGAGAAGGCAUUACAACAUCAGGACCAACCUUGACUGCCUCCUUUGUGGGGACCAUGUGGAAGAAGCAAUUGAACAUCUUUUCUUUCAUUGCAAAUUUAGUGAAAGCUGCUGGCUCAAACUCAACAUGAGUUGGCCGACCACAGGGAACUGGUUGGACAUGAUGGCCCACUUGAAAACGAGAUAUCGUCGAAAAAUGAUCAUGGAUAUUUUCCUCGAGGCUACCUGGAGUCUUUGGAAAGAAAGGAAUAACAACUAUUUUCGGAAAGUGACUCCUUCAGAUCAGCGUGGAAGGCCAGGUUUAAAACUGAUUUCGCCAACAUUGCAUAUAGAGACUUCCUGAGCAGAAAAGACAACUCAUCUCAGCCAAAUCUAUAACAUAGCUUUGUAACNNNNNNNNNNNNNNNNNNNNNNNNNNNNNNNNNNNNNNNNNNNNNNNNNNNNNNNNNNNNNNNNNNNNNNNNNNNNNNNNNNNNNNNNNNNNNNNNNNNNNNNNNNNNNNNNNNNNNNNNNNNNNNNNNNNNNNNNNNNNNNNNNNNNNNNNNNNNNNNNNNNNNNNNNNNNNNNNNNNNNNNNNNNNNNNNNNNNNNNNNNNNNNNNNNNNNNNNNNNNNNNNNNNNNNNNNNNNNNNNNNNNNNNNNNNNNNNNNNNNNNNNNNNNNNNNNNNNNNNNNNNNNNNNNNNNNNNNNNNNNNNNNNNNNNNNNNNNNNNNNNNNNNNNNNNNNNNNNNNNNNNNNNNNNNNNNNNNNNNNNNNNNNNNNNNNNNNNNNNNNNNNNNNNNNNNNNNNNNNNNNNNNNNNNNNNNNNNNNNNNNNNNNNNNNNNUACUAUCCAAACUUUCAAAAAGAACAGUGUGAACAUUUUUUGAAUUUGUGAAGUAUUUUUGAAAAAGGAGAACAAUUUUUGAAUGGGAACUGUUUUUUGAAAUUCUGAACAAUUUUCAAAAACAAGAAACAUUUUUUGAAUUUCAAACAACAUUUGAAAUUCUCAAAGUUUUUUUGAAAUGAAAAUAAAAAAGGGAAGAAAAAUAAAAUAAAUAUGAAACAGAUUAAGCGGAAAAGAGAAAGUAAAAACGGAAGAAAAAAAAAGGAAAAUAGAAAACCAGCUUAAGGUACCUUCUAGAAGGUUCCCAAAACCGAUAAAAACUGGAUGGGAAACUUCUAGAAAGUUCCCACAACAGGAACUGCCUACAACGGGAAAUGGGUCGGCCUAGUUGAUCGCGCCCGAUGCGAUCGGUCGACUGUUUGCCACAAAGAGCGUCAAAUAAGAUCAGUUGACAGCUGGCUGCACGUGUGUAUGGUAAAUCUACUACUCAUUCCGUUCAAUAAUAUAAAACCAUUUUUGACACUAGUGUGUUGACAUUAGUGCCAAAAGCACUCUUAUAUUAUGAGGGAAAAUUGACUGAAUGAAAUUUAUGGUCAGUUGACGGGGUUGCAAGUUAAACAGCAUAUUCCUGUCAACCAAUAUUAAACAACCAUGUUCACGUUAUUAGUGUAUAAAGCAAACAGAAAAAACAGGGAUCUCAAACUAGCCUAGGUGUGUUCUAAAAUAUCAGAUGGUUUAGGGGUUUUCAUUUUAGGUUUUUUUUCGAAAGGAGGUUGAAACCACGGCCUUUGCAUAGAUAGAUAGAUGCAUACAACCAUCUUUAUUAAUUAUUGAAUGAAGGUUUGAUAAGAACAUACAUCAAACAACCCGAAGCCAUCACUCAUACCUACAAACACGAUAAUGUGGAAUGCCAUCACUCCCACCAUCUAUAACCGGGAGCACCGCUGCUCUGCUCCACCCACAUGAUGUAUAUGGAGCCUACACCCAGUGCAACAAAGCUAAAGUAUACAAUGUAUGCACAUGCUUUAGAGGCCACCACCAGCAUCGAACCGCUGACCAUCUCCAUGAAAAAGAUCCACAUAAUCCUUGCCAGGACGGCCAACCGUCGAUGCCGCCAUGGCGCUAAAUAGUGCCACCGCUCUGUGCUCGUCCAUCUAGAUGCAUCCUUCACGGAGUCUCACCUACACCAUGCCGCCCAGACCCAAAUCGUCGAUGCUAUAGAUGCCACGCCGCUCCACCACCUGUCCACUCGAGUCAGCACCUACUCCAAAAUGAUGCCUCUAGCAGGGAGCACGGCACUAGGUGUCGCCAUUGUCUGAUUCAGGGUUUCCCCAGGGUAGGCCGAAAGGAGCGACGUGGCUUGCUAUGACGAUGCCUUCAACAAGGUAAUGGCGCCAAGAGAUGCCACCAUCAUCCACCAUGACCAUAGUUCCGGCUCAGUCUUCAUCGGUAUUCUUUCCACUCCAAGCUCGCCACCGGAUAGAUCUGAUGACAGAUUCGUCGCCGCCACCACACAUGCGCGCAGUAGGAGGUAACCGCUGCCGCUGCACCGCCAGCCGAUUCACCACUGCUCCAUAGGUCCGCCCAAACCCGUUGGCCCGCAAAACAAACCAAGAGAGAGGCAGCAAUGACCAUGGUUACCUUGUCGAUCGUGCGACGGAUCCACUUUCCCUUGUCAUCAAGACCGGCGUUGCUGCCAUACCGCCAACGAUGAAGAAGAAGCCCACCACCGCCACGGAGGGGGAUCCUCACCGCCGCCAUGGAUGGGGAUCCAUGUCGUCCCCGCACGGGCUUUGCCUGGCAGCAACCGCUGGCGGCAACGAGAAGAGAAGCCGGGGAGAGGAGGUGUAGGCGGGAGGGCUGGGGUCACCGCGUGUGUCGCCUUGGCGAGGCGAUAUGGAGGCUCCAUAAAAAACGGAUCGGACAACACCCUAGUGCAGAAAUCAAAAGUCAAAAUUGCAGUGCACCACUAGCAGCAAAAAAAAGAUACGCUACAAUCAAUGAAAUGACUAGGGUAUAUAUGAAGAGAAUGCAGCACUCUGAAUAACCACACUGUGUAACACACCAAGCCACACUCUUCCUGUUAGCUUCUUGUCUAAAUUUUCUGAAGACCGGCAUGAAACAAUUCCUCGCCAAGUCUCAUAUGUUGAAAUAUAUUGCCCGCCUCUCUCCAUUCGUUCAGACUUUUUGAACAACUAGUUAGAGCAUGAAUUCAACAUGGUAUCGGAGCCAAGAGGUCUAGAGUUAAAGAAUCGGCUAGCACAAUUUAAAAUAAAAAAUUGCAGCCCAUUUUUGGUCCACGUUUGGGUCUGAGGGAGCCACACAUAAGGGCAAGUGUUGACACAUAAAUGCAUAUCCAACCUUUCUCCAUCAGCUUGAGAUUUUGGAUGAACUACAUCAUAAGCUCUUAACCACAAUCCACAAAAGUAAUCAAACAUUUGAUAUCAAACUGGUUGUCAUAACAACUAGCUAGAAUUGGUAAUCACAUUUAUCAUGUUCAAUUCCAAUUAAUAGUGAUAAAAACACAAAAAUAUUUGUACGCACUUUUAACCAUAAAUCUCUAUGAACAAAUAGGUUUAUGGAUGAUUUUCUUUUCUUGGAGUAUACAAGGAUUUUCCCAACAUUCGAUACUAUUGGUUGGUUGGUGGAUGAAACUUAAUGCCUUCAAUCAUCUACUCAUUGCUCUCCAACCAUUUCUUUUCCCACAAUUUAAUAGGAUGGGUAAAAAGUUUUGAAACAAUAUGGUUGUAGGUAUUUGCAGUGCCAGUCAUUAAAUAGUUCUGUUUUUUAAGGGUGACUAGAAGUGUUGCUCUAAUAACAGCUUGAAUACGACUCUGAAACACCCUUUGGCUAAUUGCAAUAUCAUAAUACCUCCAUCUCAAAAUAGUGUCGCUGACUUAGAGCAACAUACUUUGCCCUACAGGCUUGACCAUCAAUUCUUUAGCAGUGCCAACAACAUACUUUGACCUGCUAAUUCCUAGGCACACAAAACAUUUGCUCACAUCAGUUUAGUAUAAAAAAUCUAGUACUUCUGCAUAAACAACAUAUACUCAUAACUGAGACAUGAUUCAUACAAUCCAUCCAAAAUCGGUAAUUGUAUAUGUGAGGUUUUUUCCCCAUAGUUGAAAUUUAAGUACACAAAUCAUACUAGUGUGACAUUGAGAUUCUUCUGGACAUACAUACAUGUAAAAUAGUAGGAAGUUGGUUAUCAAUACCAUCAUCACUAAACAAGAAUAUUCCUUCUCAUCGCUCGAUUUACUGAAUUAUCAGCCCGCUGUUAUGGGCAUUCUUAGCACAUACUUUUUAAUUUAUAAACAAACACAACAGGUGAACGUAGCUGACUGGAUACUAAACAAAGUAUAUCAAGGACUACCUAUGACUGAAUUAACAGCAAGUAGAUGGAACCAUGUGCCGCACAACACAAGCUGGACUAGCAGUUUGUUCAUCUCAAGACAAUGAGGCUACAACAAAACUAGACUCGUUGUUCUAAAUUCAACACAAAGGACUAUCAAUGCUUAGAGCGUAGCAUAAAUUGUAUAACUAAUAAGAUCUCGACACACACGAGAUAUGAACUAACUUGUAUAAAGUGCAGUCAUAUGGGCCUUGGGAGGCGUCAUCGGAUCCUGACUCAUGGUCGGGUCCGAUGAGAGACUCCCACGAUCGUCUUGACCCACAUUUAACAUCAGGGUCAGGGCAAGUGUCUCGUGCUGAUCCUCGAUCUAAUUCGACACUCACCUUGUGAAGACCAAGGUCUCGACCUGGCCUAGGUGGUCGGUUGAGUCAGCAAAGAGGGCGAUGCUACCUAAGACAAAGAUCUGUUCCAGCACAAAAGUAGCGCCGGUACCGAUCCGCUUGAUGUUCUUGAUCCCCAUUGUAACACAAUGAUUUUUAGAGGGUCAUGUAUGGGCCACUAAUGAUGGGGCUAAGUCUAGAUACAACAGUAACAAGGACACAAGGUUUACCCAUGUUCGGGCUCUCCAAAGAGAUAACACUCUAUGUCCNNNNNNNNNNNNNNNNNNNNNNNNNNNNNNNNNNNNNNNNNNNNNNNNNNNNNNNNNNNNNNNNNNNNNNNNNNNNNNNNNNNNNNNNNNNNNNNNNNNNNNNNNNNNNNNNNNNNNNNNNNNNNNNNNNNNNNNNNNNNNNNNNNNNNNNNNNNNNNNNNNNNNNNNNNNNNNNNNNNNNNNNNNNNNNNNNNNNNNNNNNNNNNNNNNNNNNNNNNNNNNNNNNNNNNNNNNNNNNNNNNNNNNNNNNNNNNNNNNNNNNNNNNNNNNNNNNNNNNNNNNNNNNNNNNNNNNNNNNNNNNNNNNNNNNNNNNNNNNNNNNNNNNNNNNNNNNNNNNNNNNNNNNNNNNNNNNNNNNNNNNNNNNNNNNNNNNNNNNNNNNNNNNNNNNNNNNNNNNNNNNNNNNNNNNNNNNNNNNNNNNNNNNNNNNNNNNNNNNNNNNNNNNNNNNNNNNNNNNNNNNNNNNNNNNNNNNNNNNNNAAGGAAACCAUGUCUUCGACGAAUCUGGCAUCUUGGAGUAGAUGAUAAGUCUUCUAGAACCUUAUGUUUAUACGUCAAGGGUCGUUUGACAUUGCCCACUCCGCAACCGACAUGGGGGUCCCUAGCCCGACCCACAAGGCUAGGAGGGCGACAUGGUGAGAGACCCCCAACCAGGGACACCAUCAAGACCGGGUUUGAAUCACCAUCAAAUCUGAAUUAGGGUAACCACGCCGGUCAAUCAUGGACGAUGUCGAAGCUACGGUCACCCGUCAUCAGAUCCAUCGGAAACCCACACUAUCGACUCACACCUUCGUGUAUAUGCGUUGGCAUUUCCCCGAAGAGGAGAGGAUGAUGCAGCACAACAACGGUAAGUAUUUCCCUCAGUUAUGAAACCAAGGUUAUCAAUCCAGUAGGAGAACUAAGCAACACUAUGUAAACAGCACGUGCACACAAAUAACAAGAACUUGCAACCCAACGCGUAAGAGGGGUUGUCAAUCCCUCCUCGGUAAUGAGAUAGAUUAAAUUGUAUGAGAUUUGAUAAAUAGAUCUUACAAAAACAAAAAAUAAAGUAAAUAAAGAAAAAGUGCAGCAAGGUAUAUUUGGUUUUAAUAUGACAGAAAAGAGACCCGGGGGACGUAAAUUUCACUAGAGGCUUCUCUCGAGAAAAUAGCAUACGGUGGGUAAACAAAUUACUGUUAGGCAAUUGACAGAAAAGCGAAUAAUUAUGACGAUAUCCAAGCCAAUGAUCAUGUAUAUAGGCAUUAGGUCCAAGAUUAGUAGACCGACUCCUGUCGGCAUCUACUACUAUUACUCCACACAUCGACCGCUAUCCAGCAUGCAUCAAGUGUAUUAAGUUCAUGGAAAAACGGAGUAAUGCAAUAAGAACGAUGACAUGAUGUAGACAAGAUCUAUUCAUGUAGGAAUAGACCCCACCUUUUUAUCCUUCAUGGCAACGAUACAUGCAUGUCAUGUAUCCUUCUGUCACUGAGGUUGAGCACCGCAAGAUCGAACCGAUCACAAAGCACCUCUUCCCAUUUCAAGAAAAAACAAUCUAGUUGGCCAAACCAAACCAAAGUUUCGGGGAAGAAAUAUGAGGCUAUAACAAUCAUGCAUAAAAGAGUUCAGCAAAGACCCAAAUAAUAUUCAUGGAUAUAUCUGAUCAUAAACUCACAAUUCAUCGGAUCCCAACAAACACACCGCAAAAAGUCACUACAUCAAAAAGAUCUCCAAGAACAUCGAGGAUAACAUUGUAUUGAAGAUCAAAAAGAGAGAAGAAGCCAUCUAGCUACUACCUACGGACCCAUAGGUCUGUGGUAAACUAUUCAUGCAUCAUCGGAGGGGCAAGGGUGAUGAUGAAGAAUCCCUCCGUGAUUGUUGACCCCUCCGGCAGAAUGCCGGAAAAGGCCUCUAGAGUGGAUCUCGUGGUUCUGGAACUUGUGGCGGCUGGAAUUGUGUUUCGUCAACUCCCUAGGGUUUUUGAGAUUUUAGAGUAUUUAUAGAGGCAGAGGUCGGCGGAGGGGGUGCAUGUGGGCCCCACUACCCACCAGGGCGCGCCAUGGUUCCUAGUGGGCCCCACAAGGCCCCUCUAGAGAAAAAAUUAUCCAAAAACUUUCGUGCAUUUGGACUUCAUUUGGUAUUGAUUUUUCUGCGAAGUAAAAAACAGGCAAAAAAAUAGCAACUGGCACUAUGUCAAUAGGUUAGUCCCCAAAAAAUUAUAAAGUUGCUAGUCAAUGAAUAUAAAACAUCCAAGAUUGAUAAUAUAAUAGCAUGGAACAAUCAAAAAUUAUAGAUACGUUGGAGACGUAUCACUCACCUCCUAUGCAUCAGGCCAAAAUAGCCCCAGAUCUUGUCGGUUGCCAGCCUGCGGCUAGCGAUGGCGUUGCUGCACCCCCUCCUGGUCGAUUGGCACACCGGGUGGAGCUAUACACUGGUGAGGGCAUUGUAGCACGCGAUGGCGGUGCGAAGCGGUUUAGGUUGAUAUGAGGAUGAGAGGAGCGGGAAGAAGGGAACACCCCACCGCCACUAUGCGACACACAGAGCUUUGUCAGGCGCGGUGAUGGCUCUAUAUUUUACACAUUUUUAGAGCUCAUUUAUUGCAUGUUCUCUUCAUAUAUUAUGUCUUAUUGAACCAAAUAGUUGUUCAUUAUGCAUGUUUACCGGUAUUUACACUUUUCCUUGUGAGCAUUGCGCAUUUAAUAUUUUAUUUGGUUUUUAUUAGUUCUCUUUGUUUUCUUGUGUCUACAAGUGUAUUUUAGCAAUCUAGGACCAAACACGAUGAAAGAAUCAAGGAUGGGUUCAAUAGGAGUCACCCGGGGGGCACACUAAGCCAUUUUGAAGGUCGGAAAAAGGCAUUUUCCAAAGUCCUCCAAAUCAAUAUCUAAUACUAGAAAUGGAUGUGUAUCAUUCAUACGAAUCCAAUGAGUCCAAGAUCAUCAAAUUCCGAGUUCGUAUGAAGAAAUGGCAGCCGUUUUACCGGAGAAGGUGAGAACAAAAGACGACGUUUCAUGCGACCGCGGCCGGUCGUUUCACCAAUCAUAUGACGUGCACACAGUUCCGAAAGUUGCUCUUCCAGACGGGAUUUUGCAUCGAUUUGCCCCAAUUGUUCCCAUGGGAUCCUUGGAUCAUAAUGAUGGGAUUGCGAGAAGAUAAGGCUCAUCUUGAGCCCUUGGAUGACCACAUCAACGGAGGAGACACCGAGAGGCCUUCAUAUAAGCACCUCCAACCUUAGGCGCCUCCACUCACCUCCUUAUUCAUUCAUCCAUGCAGCCAUCAUCCAUAUCCAUUGUUCCUCCAAGACCACCUCCAUAUAGAAGAGAAGGGCCAAGCCAUGAGGAAGAAGAAGGGGUGCCUCCACCACGGGCAUCGGCCUUUGGGCUGGUGCGGUCUUCACCGCCAGCGCCGCCAUGCCCCUCUCCUCAACUGGCUUCACGUCGGCUUGUAACUUUCCAUCUCCCUCUCCUAUGUUUGAGUAGUUGUACUAGUUCUUGAGGAAUUGGAUGAAUCCUUGCAUGAUUAGUACUUUGUUGAAUAAGCGAUUCAAUCAUUUUCUUUAUAUGUAUUGCGUUGAUUGUGUCAUGGUGUUGUGAAGAAAGCUCGUGCAACAUUAGCCACUUGUGGACUCAAGGCAAGUCAUGUUGGUGAACAAGCUGGUUGUGGAGGGUAGGUGGUGACAGUCAUAUUCUCCCUUCGUCCUGUCAUUGCAAUAGAGAUUAGUGGAGAACACUAUAACUUAAGGUCGUGACAACGGGGAGCUCACUCCCAUUAAUCAUCAUUGUGAUAACCGGAGUGGGGAAGCACGAUGGUGGCACGAGUGUACGCAAUAACCUGAGUGGGGAUGUGUACUUUAUUGGCUCCGCUGAUACGUCCAUUUUGCAUCACGUUUUCAUGUUGAUAUUUAUCGCAUUAUGGACUGUUAUUUCACCUUAUAAUACAAUUCUUAUGCCUUUUCUCUCUUAUUUUGCAAGUUUCACAUGAAGAGGGAGAUUGCCGGCAGCUGGAAUUUUGGAUUAGAAAGGGCUACAUCGGAGGCACUUUUUCUGAACAACUUCAAAUGAGCUGAAAAUUGACGGAGAAUUAUUCUGGAAUAUACUAAAAUUACUGGCGAAAGAAAUACCAGAGGGGGACCCACCAGGCAGCGACAAGCCUGGGGGCACACUCUACCCCCCAGGGCGCGCCUCCUGAGCUUGUGGUGGUGCCCCUAGCAGGCCUCCGGGGCCCAUCUUCUCCUAUGUGGUGCCAUUUGACCUAGAAAAGAUCAGAAGAAGGGUUUCGGGAAGAAGCGCCGCCAUCUCGAGGUGGAACCUGGGCAGGAGCACUUUUGCUCUUCGGCGGAGCAAUUCCGGCGGGGAAACUUCCCUCUGGGAGGGGGAAAUCGAAGGCAUCGUCAUCACCAACAAUCCUCUCAUCAUGGGAGGACCAAUCUUCAUCAAUAUCUUCACCAGCAUCAUCUCAUCUCAAACCCUAGUUCAUCUCUUGUAUUCAAUCUUUGUCUCAAAACCUCAGAUUGGUACCUGGGGUUGCUAGUAGUGUUUAUUACAUCUUGUAGUUGAUGCUAGUUGGUUUAUUUGGUGGAAGAUUAUAUGUUAAGAUCCUUGAUGCUAUUCAAUACCCUCUGAUCUUGAGCAUGAAUAUGAUUUGUGAGUAGUUACUUUUAUUGUUGAGGACAUGGGAGAAGUCUUGACAUAAGUAAUCAUGUGAAUUUCGUAUUUGUUCGAUAUUUUGAUGAUAUGUAUGUUGUUGCUUCCUUUAGUGGUGUCAUGUGAAUGUCGACUACAUGACACUUCACCAUAUUUGGGCCUAAGGGAAGGCAUUUUGGAUUAGUUAUUAGAUGAUGGGUUGCUAGAGUGACAGAAGCUUAAAUCCUAGUUUAUGCGCUAUUUCGUAAGGGGCUGAUUUGGAUCAUAUGUUUAAUGUUGUGGUUAUAUUUAUCUUAAUUCUUAUUUCGUAGUUGCGGAUGCUUGCAAGAGGGGGUAAUCAUAAGUGGGAGGCUUGUUCAAGUAAGAACAUCACCCAAGCACUGGUCCACCCACAUGUCAAAUUAUCAAAAUAACGAACGUGAAUCAAAUAAACAUGAUGGAAGUGACUAGAUAAAAUUCCCGUGUGUCCUUAAGAACGCUUUGCUUAUUAUAAGAGACCGUUCCGGACUGUCCUUUGCUACAAAAAGUAUUGGGAUACCUUUCUUCACCUUUGUUACCGUUACUACUUAUUUCUCGUUACAAAUUAUUUUGCUAUCAAACUAUCUGUUACCGAACAUUUUAGUGCUUGCAGACAAUACCUUGCUGAAAACCGCUUGUCAUUUCCUUCUACUCCUCGUUGGGUUUGGCACUCUUACUUAUCAAAAGGACUAGGAUUGAUCCCCUAUACUUGUGGCUCAUCAUCCGCCUACGCGAUAUCAUACAAGUGGCUUAGUGAACAAUUAAAGAGCCAUGUCUAUCAUGUGUUGUCAGCAUCAUACUUGUGGUGAUGACUCCAAUUCCCUCGAGAACGUUUACUACUUAUCGAAAGGACUGCGAUUGAUCCCUUAUACUUGUGGGUCAUCAUCCGCCCACGCGAUAUCAUACAAGUGGCUUAGUGAUACAAUCAAAGAGCUAUCUCUCUCCAUUAUCUACCACAUAAAAAAAUGUAUUCAACCAUUUGUAUAAACAAUGUUGCUGGCAUUAAAAUUUAAAAAAAAACAAUGGAUAAGAAAGGAAGGCAUUGCUAAGCAAAUAAAUUUCAGUUUAAUGGCACAUGCUUCAUGGCACAACGGGCCGUAUAGUCGAAAUAAAACCUCCACUGGAUCAGGUCACUCCCACACACUGAUCGACUAGUUGUAUCUCAAAAGGUGUGACCUACUAAAAAAGGCAUAUUCGCAAGAUGCCAGUUUUUCAGUAUCAUCUCUCUCUCUCUCUCUCUCUCUCUCUCUCUCAGCGUGUGCAUCUCUAACUCUACCAAGCAUCCGCCCACAUUCGCCCCUCCUAGUGACCCUAUGGCGCAGCUCCUCCAUGAGAAACGGUGAGUGCCCCUGAUUUUUCCUAGCUUCUCCCUGAGAUCCAACUUCCCCAAUUUCAGUUUUAUUUAUUGAUGAUUCACUUCUUCUCUUUAAUUUUAGGAACCCUAGAUCCAAAUUGGCUGAGGGGAUUUCUGGCUCAAUUAUGAGCCGCCUCGCUUCCUCACCGGUGCUACCGCUCGAUGAUGAGGACCUUCUCCAAGAGAUCCUCAUCCGCCUCUCUCCACAACCAUCCUCCCUCCCGCGCGCCUCCCUUGUCUGCCCGUGCUGGCGCAGCAUCCUCUCCAACCACAAGUUCCUCUGUCGCUUUCGCAAGCAUCACAGGAAACCACCUCUGCUUGGCUUCUUCGCAAGGUGUUUAAUCACUAAAACGACCGUCUUCACUUCCGUCCUUGACUCGCCUGACCGCAUCCCUGCUGGUCACUUUCUCGUGCCGCACAGCCACAACCCAUCCAAGCGGUUGCGCUUCAUGGGAUGCCGCCAUGGCCUCGCCGUCCUAUUUGAAAUGUCACUCAAUUCCCCCAUGCCAACAGGUUUGAUUGUGUGGGAUCCACUCACUGGUCAACAACACAACCAUUUGACAAUGCCACCAGGGCUCAAUGGAGACAAAUGGAAGUGUUGGAAUAGCACUGUGUUGUGCACUAAUGUCGAAGAUGGGCAUGUGCACGGUGAUUGCUUCUCGAACCCAUUCAAAUUUGUCUUGAUCUUCAACAGAGACACAGAUGCUUCAGCAUGCGUCUAUGAAUCAACAUCUGGUGUAUGGGGAGAUAUUGUCUCUGUGGUGACCAAGAAAGUAAUUUCUCCCCUGAGACCCAGCAUCCUGAUUGGAAAUGUACUUUACUGGUUGCUUGUUGGAGGUGAAGUCCUUGUGCAUGAUUUUGAAAGGCAGAGUCUUGGUAUGAUUGAGAAGCCAGCAGACACACAUAAUGGACAUGCCGAGUUUUCUUAUCAUCUCUUACGGACAGAGGAUAAUGGACUUGGUCUCGCCAUUGUGUCUAAUUUUACAAUCAAAUUAUGGGAGAGGAAAUCCAACCGUGAUGGUGUUGUUGGCUGGGAGUUUUUGAAGAAAGUUGCUCCAUUGGAUGGGUUGUUUCCGGAGCCGAUGCUUAGUGGUCACAUGUGGAUACUUUUGGUGGGGUAUGAUGAGGACACAAAUGUGAUUGUUCUGUCUACGAUGACUAGCACGUUCAUGCUCCAACUUGAUUCUAUGCAAAUCAGAGAUAUUUCUGUAAGAACUAAUCUACGUCACCCAGUCAUUUAUCCCUAUAGAAAUUUCUAUACUGCAGGUAAUACCUCACUAUCUACAUUGCACAAACUACAGUAAUCCAAAUAAUUUUUAUUUUUUGACAUUCAUUCUAGUUACUUUUAGUUCGUGUUCCUUGGUCAAGUAUGGACUAGAUAUAUAAGAAUACAUUUCUUGUCCGUUUCUUAGUCUGUGUGGUAAUCUUAUGGUGAUGUAAUUUCUUAUACUGGGCAACACUUGGACUAGAAAAGGGGAAGAACCAUAACUAUUGGUGUCUCUCAGUUGAUCUUUUUGCAUGGGUUUUCUAGCUGUUGGAAACUGGUAACGACCACACUAAGAGAAUAUUGUGAAACCAUCUUAUUUCUGAAAUAGUAUUACGAUAGGUGCAUUUGGAAGUUUACAUUCAACAUUUUUCUUCACAGAUAUAUCUUGAUAGUAAUAAUCAAUUCAAAUAUCAUGUAGUCGGUUUAUAAAAAAUGAUGUCAUUUUCUUAAUAUGUGUAUUAUGUUUUGACCCAUUGGAUAUUUCUUGUACAUGCUCUCACAAGAAUAAUUCUGGAUUACUAUAUUUUUUCUGAACAUGUAAAUAGUCUUUACAUCUCUUGGAAAAGUAUUAUUGUUGUUGUUUCUUGAUAUUAAUCCCCUCUCACUUAGAGCAAUCCAUAUUGGUGAAUUUGAAUAGGUGAGGAGAAGGGUACCCAGCCGAGGACUACUACAACUACACAUAUGGUGAAUUGCGGAAUAUGACAAUGAUAUAUGUGACCUAGAAGGCACAUGUGGGGGCUGGAAUUAAUGAACAUCAUAUAAUCUAAAGCUAUGUAUUUCCUGAAUGCUUGUAUGACCAUCUAUCUAGUAUGGCUAGCUGGAGCUCAAGUGCUAAGAGAUGUAAUAAUCGAUAAAGUUGUGAAUCCUACUUAAGACUUCUAGCCCAAUGUGGCAUGUUAUUCUAAUUUUAAUACCCAUCUAGCUAUUCCAUGUUGCAAUAUCAAAACGUGGCUUAUCAUCUGACAAAGAUGAUAUUCUCAAGCCAUAAUCCAAGGGUCACUGUCAUUUGUUUUUUAAAGUACGCCAAAGGCGUACAAUAUUUUUAUAGAAGGAAUGGGAUAAUGUACAAAAAAAUUUUGAGCUAGGCGAACAUCAACACAAGCGAAACCACUCAACCACUCAACACCUACAACUCCAGUCAUUGUCAUUAUAUAAGGUAAUAAUGGUUACGAUGUCACAAUUCUGCUACGGAUACUCGUCCGUGUAUACAUCUAUAUAAAUCAUACCAUAGAGCAUGAAUUCGACACUUUUUUGCUUCGGGAACUGAGGAGGCGAGAUGAGUAAGUAGAGAAGAGAUGCCUCGAGUCAUAUUUUGAUAAAUGCUCUCGACACUAAAAUUUCCAUUUUAGAUAUCCAUCUCCACCACUUGUUGUCCUCGUAUUUUCAUGACCCAAGAAAUAUUUAUUGCAAACCAUAUAUACUUUUUAAGUCAUGACAUAUUUAGAUUUUGAUUGUUGCUUCAAUAUUUGAAAGUUUGCUAUUAUUGUGUUUUGCUUGAAAGGUAGUGAGAUAUUUUAAUGUUUGCUACUCCCUAGCAAAAUACGAGGACAAAAUCAUAUCUAAAGGGGCAAAAUGAAUGAAUCUCCCGCACUCGUUGAAGCAAAGGAACCGUAAUCGUUGCUUGGGAGAGGAUAGAUAGACCACAUAAUUCAAAUUGGGCGCUGGUCAAAAUCAUAUUCACACCUGAUCCCAUACCUGCAAUCGUAUCAGAUUCACAAAUCGCAUCGAAUAUGAACUCUCGUUCUGAUCAGAUUCAGAGAUCUCAAUCCCAUUAUCUAAGAACAUAUACAACAUGUUAAACCAUGUUGAAUCAAGUACAUGAAUGGAGAUCAGUUUUCAAGGGAAACUACAUGAUUUACAACACAAGUGUUCAAAAUUCCUCACCGCCAUUUGGCUAACAAUAUAAUAAUAGCCUCUACACCCCCCCUUUUAUAUAGGACGCAGUAGACAAUCACACACUACGAUAGCCUUCCUCUUCCAAAAUUAAGAUAGGGACGAUUACUCAUGCUAUCCGUCAUCAGAAGAUGUGAAUGGAAUGUCAAAUGUUAAUUUGGUCAAGUACUAAUGAUUACUCUACUUGGAAAGAAAAAAGAACCUUCCAACAAGUUCUACCGGAUGAUAGCUGCCAUCAUUUUCAGAGGAUAGCGUUGGGUGGCUCAAAACAUUUCUCAGAACUUUGUUUCAACAGGAUUUCCGGUAAUCCAUGCGCUGACCUGCUCUGACAUUCUCCAACAUUUUCCUGCAAAAGCUAAUACACAAUACAAAAAUUAGUGAACGAACACCAUGGUCCCAAAAGACAACGAGAAAAAAAGGCAAACCUUGCUACAGUUGCUAUCCAUGCUCUCUCAUGCCUGUAUUUCAACCAUCUUCGCACGUUUCCUCUUGGUAGGUUUCGCGGUGUCACUGGUAACUUCGGUGGCCACAAGUUUUUUAGCAGGUAGUUGGCCGAUAAAGAGAACAUUCUGCGCCCAACCAGCAUACUCGCCAAAUUUGGCUACAAAUGCAUCGGCGACAACAAUGCUCAGUUUUGGAGUCAGGCUCUUGUCAGCUAGCUCAGGCAACAUAUAUCGUGUAGCAACCUGUGUAAAAUCCACAUGGUUAGGGCUUGAAGACUCAAACAAAAUAGGCUUUCAGAUCAUAUAGAACAUAUCCAGAGAAUCUUUCUUGACACUGCAUCCUUAAGGUUCAAAUGUAUUUUUUGAUACCACACAAGCUGUUGUCAUUUCUGAACAGAACGUCCAUUUUGUAUAACUUUCAGUGGUGAUUGGUUACUUCACCCAUUUCAAAGGAUGAAAAUUUUAUUUCCCGACAAUAUAACAAUUUGGUAUUGGUACAUCCAUCACCCAUGAAAUUUAAGCAUGAUUAGCUUAGGAAAUGUAUAACAUGUUAACAUGGUCCAAACUCUUACAAUUCAUGUAGGCGAAGCAUUCAACUUGUUGCUAACCAACAGAAAAGGACUAUCAUAACUAAAACCAGCCCAUCAAAAGCACCUAAUUUUGUGAGAAUGGACAAAGAGUGUGGAAAGGCACAUCAGAUUAAGCCAUUUUUACAGCAAGAGUACAAUGGUUAACCAGACAUAGCAUACCUUCCAGACAUGUGUGUCAACAGGAAUAGCCUGAUUCUUAUCAAGAGAGAACAGAGCAAUGCAGGCUGCAACUUUUGGACCAACACCUGGCAGGGUACAAAGACCCUCAAUUACCUCCGGAAGUUCCCUGUCACGCAGCAAGGCAAGCCAUUUUGCACCUCCACCAGGCUUGGCCAUCAAUUUUCUAGCUGUGCCAACAACAUACUUUGCCCUGCGCAUUCGUAGGAACAGAAAAUUUUCUCAAAUCAGUUUAGUACAAGUAUCUAGUAAUGCUGCAUAAACAACAGAUACUCAUAAAUGAGAUAUGAUUCGGACAAUCUAUCUACAAUCAGUAAUUGUAUGCGUGAGGUUGUUUUCCCACAGUUGAAAUUUAUGUACACAAUUAGACAAAUGUGAUACUGAGAUUCUUCUGUACAUUCAUACAUGUAAGACAGUAGGAAGUAGGAUAUCAAUACCAUCACCACCAUCAUCACUAAACAAGAAUACAACUCUUCAUCGCUUGAAUUACUGAAUAAUCAGCCCCCUGAUAUGAGCAUCCUUAGCACAGGAUUUUCAUUUCUCAACAAACACGACAGGUGAACAUAUCUGGAUGCUAAACAGAGUACAUUAAGGACUACCUAUAAGGCUAUAACUGAAUUAACAGCAAGUAGAUGGAACCAUGUGCCCCACAACACAAGCUGGAGUAGCAAUUAGUUCAUCUCAAGACAAUGAGGCUACAACAAAACCAGACUAGCCGUGCUGAAUUCAACACAAAGGACUGCCAAUGCUAAGAGCGUAGCAUAAAUUGUAUAUAACUAAGAAGAUAGAUACACACGAGGCAGGAACUGACGGACCUGUACCCAAACCCAGCCUCCCGAAGCUCCUGCUCGGACACCUGCGCGAGCCGCUCGACAGUGGGGAACCGGUGGAAGACGAAGCCGCCGACCUCUCCGAGCCGCUCCCCGUAUCCGGCCAGCGUCCAGACCAUCUUCUCGAUCCGCGCGAUGUUGUUGUUGGAGGAGCAGAGGAACUGGAACAGGCACUCGACCGGGUCCUGCCUGAGCACCCGGGCGCCGCCGCCGCCGAGCCGCGCCGCGACCUCCGCGAAGCGCGCAUCGGCGGCGGUGAACUGGACCCAGAGGUCGGCGAGGGGGACGGCGGAGUUCAGGUAGUCGCACAGCGCGGCCCGGGCGGCGGCGACGGAGGAGGAGGGGGAGGCGGGGUCGUCGUUGUGGAGGAGGAAGGCGAGGCGGUCGUCGUCGGGGAGGUGGGAGAGGGAGACGAGGUGCGGGCCCACGGCGGCCGUGAAUCGGAGCGGGGAGAGGGAGGUGCGGCGCCAGAGGAAGGUCUGGCCGGUGGGGAGGGUGAGCGGAAGGGAGAGCUCGGCGAGAGAGAGGGGGAGCGGGUGCCACUCCUCGUCGGCGAGGGUUAGGCGGCGGCGGGCGGGAGGAGGGUGCUGCUGGGUGGUCUCGGGCUUGGGGGUUUCUACGGGCGCGGCCGGCGGUGGGGUGGAGGAGAGGAGGGCAGGGGAGGACGGCAUCGGCGGCCUGACGGUGCGCUGGCGGCGAGGAGGUGUGGCGGAGGCGGAGGCGGCGGAGGCGACGCGGGGGAGGAGCGGGGGACGCAUGGUGGGUGAAAACCGUAAGCUCAGCACGAAGGCGGAAAAUCGUGGUAACACACUCUUUUCUUCGCCUGAAAGUACCGUUGGACGCAUGUCACGCAUCCUGUUGCUCGACGCGGCUUUUUUACCGUUGGACGCAUCAUGUUACUCGACGCGGGACGAGGCUCCUCUGAAGUACGGCCCACACACACUGAGUGUGGAUCCGGACCCACACGUCAAUGGCCCAACGUCAGGCGGCCGUACGUCAGGGGAUCCGGCUCCCUCGACGCGGCUGAGGCUGGUCAGUGGAGAGUAAUGGCAACUCUAGCAGACGCGUAAAACGGCAACCCACAUAAGGCUUUUGCAGUUUGCAGAAAAAGGUAUAUGUGGGUCGGCGCGGGCGCGGUCACACUUAGACCCCGCAAAACGGACCCGUUAAAAAAGAUAUUCGAUGAAUAUGUUUUUUGCGGAUCGGCUAUGCAGAGUCUGCUCGGGCACCGCCGCGUCGACCCGCAAACCGAAGACGAUCAAUUAUCGAAUUUGACAUUGAUUCCAACAAAUGAGUUCAAAUUUAAACAAUAGAACACAGUUCACACGCAAAUAAAAGCUUAGUUUUGUAGGACAAAUACAAAAUGUGGUCUUGCAAAAGUGACGACCACGUCUGGCAUCGUCUUGAUCGAUCUUCACUCCGCGUCACCGAGUCCAUCGAGGUCAUCGCAACCACCGAGUACACCUUUGGCACUUGUUCCAACUUCGGCACCAAAAUCAUCGGCUGGUGCACUGGACGCAUCGGCGACAUUGGUUCCAAAACUUGUUGAGAAAACAUCUCCGACACUGUAACACGCACUGGCCGACGCAAGCAUUCUCCUCUUCAAGAUAUCUUUUCUUGCCAUAUCAUGUCAUUCUCUAGUGAGGUCGUUCAUGUCAUUGUGAUUCAAUGUCAAUGAUCUUGUUCUCUUCGGCAAGCAACUUGGACAUGGCUUUGUUUUCAGCGGACGUGAAAAGGAACUCACAUAGUCGGAUUCCACAGUUUCACUUGGAGGUGCAUUGCGUACUUGUUCCAAGCAAGCUGCCCAACAGCUGCAAAUAGGCUUGGUCACGUCCCAACGCCCUUGGAGUGACCGAAAGGUGCAUGGAGUCCUAUUGGGAUAUUUUGCCAUUGAUCUUCGAUCCUUUGCCAAUACCUCUUGGCGGUUUAAGACGUACCCGUGCAAGCAUCAAGAGACACUGCACUCCAAGCCUUGAUCAAGAUUUGAUCUUCCAAGAUUGUGUAGUUCUUUGAUCUCUGGUUUUUUCUUGCUUGCGCUUGCUCAUACGCCCCCUCAUCUGUCUCCUCCAAUUCUUCUUCACCACCGUGAUCAUCCACGCCGCCCUCCGUUUCAUUGUAAUCGAAUGCAGCGAACGGGGCUUGAUCGAUGUCAACGGCGUUGGUGUCCAAUAAGUUCAUGAACUCGGCAAUGACAUUGUUCGAGCCACCGCUAUAGUGAGCGACAAACAAGUCACGAGCUGCCGCAAAUGGCGAAAAGCAAAGAAAAUUGAAGGGACCGAAGAGGCAUACCUUCUGGCCAUUUCGUCAAACACCUCGUUCGCGGUGGAAGCAGCGCCGUUGAGCGUCAUCGCCGGGGAACCUCUUGACGGGGCGGAGGGAGUGGAUGAAGGAGCCGACCUAUUUGUAGCCGGAAUCUUCUUCCGCUUUACGCCCGAGACCUUGGCGACCUUCUCCGCCGCCGGCCGGGAUCGCGCAGCGGCGUUGGCGCCCGGAGCGCGGGCCUUCCCGGCGGUGGCAGCCGGAGUCACACCCUGCAUGACCACGUUGCCCUGCCGCUCGCGGGCAGGCGCAAUGGUGCCUUGGGCGACGACGGAGCCAACAUGGCCGGCAACGAGAUUCGCCGGAGGGGAUUGAGCGUGGCGACCUCGACGGUGACGGGGGACGACAAGGAGUCAUCCAUGGCGGCAAAGAACUGUCAGGGAAGAAGCACCGAAGUGCCCAGUGGCUGGGGCAAUGGCAGCGGAGGGGUGGGAAGCGGGAACGGCCGCGCGGAAAUGUCCCUCCUGCUAAAUCUCGUUGCGGAUAGGGGCCGAGCUCAGGUCGGCCUCCCGCCCCGUGAAUCUAAAGGUUGGGGGAGAUCUUUUGCCGCGCCCCACAAAAAAUUUUACGGGUCGAACGCGUUUGUGUUGUCUGGUCUGGCAGGAUUUUCCGCGCUGACCCGUAUUUUGGCGAUUAUUAUGGGGGUCGUGGCUAUAUGCGGGGUCUGCUAGAGAUGCUCUAAGUUAGAGCAUCUCCAGCAGACCCCGUAUAAAGCCGUGACCUGCAAAAUAACCAUCAAAAUACAGGUCGACGUGAAAAAUCAUGUCCGAUCAAACCCCGCAAACGCGUCCAACCCGAAAAAAUUUUUGCAGGGCGUGGCAAAAGAUCCCCUCAACCUUUAGAUUCACGGGGUCGGAGGCCCACCCGAGCUCACCCCCUAUUCGCGGCGAGAUUUGGCGUGAGGGAAAUUUCCACGCGGCCGCCAUUGCCCCGCCACCGCCCGCUCUGUUCCAUCUUCCCUGGCCAUUCUUCGCCGCCAUGGAAGCCUCCUAGCCGUCCCCCGUCACCGUGGAGGUUGCACACGCGCAAUCCCCUCCAGUGGAUCUCGUCGCUGGUCAAGUCGCCCUCGUCGUCGCCCAAGGCACCACCGCGACUGCCCGCAAGCGGCAGGGCGACAAUCCGGCUGGCUCCGCCGGAAAGGCAUGCGCGUCGGGCGCCACCGCUGCUGCGAGAUCUGCCCGGCCGCCGACGGAGAAGGUAGGCAAGGUUUCGGGCGUGAAGCGCAAGAACGUUCCUACGAAAAGUCUAGCGCCUUUGUCCACUCCCUCCGCCCCGGCAAGAUGUUUCCCGAUGAUGUCGUUCAACGGCGCUGCUUCCACCGUAGGCGAGGUGUUCAAUGAAAUGGCUGGAAAGUAUGCAUCUUCGACCCCUUGUACUUGCUUCGCUUUUCGCCAUUGUGGUAGCUUGUGACUUGAUGUCACUCACUAUAGUGGUGGUUCGAACAAUGCCACUCACUACAAGAAAUAUGUCAACUUGUGACCUUCUCUCAGUGACCCCAGCUAAAUUGGUUGUAAAUCCAUGGCCGCUUCGCUUGGAAGGGCUCAAACCCUGAAAUUGCCUUACACCAAAUGGUCAUAAAGCACACAAGAGUGGUUCACGACCUUAUUUCUACCAGAUUACGACCAAUAUAAAUGGUCAUGAGGUUGUGAACGUGGAUGCAUUGGUAUUUAAGGUGUCACUCAAGGUGGGCUUGGGCCUCGGUGGAACGAGGCCACCUUUUAAAAAAAAUCUAUGUGCCAUGUAGGCCUUGGCCCAUCCAGGAAGAAAUGUGGGAUGCCCUCAUAUUACUCAAAAAAAAAAUAUUCGGCCCAAUGAAAAUGGGAAAAUAAAAAUAUCAACAAUGUUAAUCAUGUAUUUAAAAUUUUCUAAAAAUGUUAAUUAUGUAUUUAAAUUUUUUUAACCAAUAUCAACAAUGUUUUAUAUGUAUACAAAAAUGUGCAAUGUGUAAAAAAAAUAUAGACAUCAAAACGUAUGUAUGAAAAAAAUGUUUUUUGUUGGAAAUAUAUGAAAAUGUGUUAAUCAUGUAUUUGAAAAAAGUUAAACAUAUAUAAACAAUAUGUACAAUGUGUCUUAAAAAAUGUAGACAUGUGUCCAAAAUAUUAGACAUCAAAAUAUUUAUUAAAAAUGUUAAUGAUGUAACUAAAAACUAUUUAAUAUCUAUAAAAAUGUUUCUAGUAAACACAAAUUUGUUCAUAAAAUGUGGCAUAAUAUUCUUGACAAAUGGAGAAGUUUUUUUUACAACAAAUAUUUGUUAGGUUCUUCACAGAAAACUCAUUUUGGGAACUCGAAAAAUAUAAAAUGAAUAUGCCGGAAUUUGUCUUUUUCACGAGAUGUGUAUCAAAAACUUUUUGCACCCAACCAUUUGGUCAAUUGUACAUUAAAUAUGGCCUAGUAUUUUAGAAAUUUGAUUUAGUACAAAUUUGCAACAAUUAUUUGGUAGAUUCUUCAAAAAAACUCAUUUCGGGCGCUCGAAAAAUGGAAAUGAUUUUUUCAUCCAAGGAAAAUGAAAACUUCCUUAGUCAAUAUUGUUUGCCAUUGCAAUAUGCAUCCUUGUGUACAAUAUGUGAUCAUUUGAACAAAUUAUGCCAUGAAUGUGGCCAUAAGGUUGAUCAUUUGGCUUGAAAGCCAUUGAUCUCCACGCAUGAUAACUCGUCUCUCAGAUCACUUUUUUAAAAAUACUUGUCAUAUUACAAGUCUAUUAUUUUUCUGGGAACUUUCUCACAUAUAAUGACACAAUGCGAAGGUUUCCUAAUUUUUUUAUUUUUUUAUUUUUUUCACGUCCGUUUCAAAAUGCGGUCAAAACCGCGGUCAUGACCGUUCCUAGCUAGUGGUUGAAUCUUGGAAAAAAUUUUGUGUUUCUCUGAUUAAAUAGAUACUUUUGUACCUAAAAAUGUUUUUUGGGAAAAAUAAAUAACAAACUAUGAGGUAGCUGCUGUUCAAAUAUCACCCGCUUCCAACUGAAUCGGUGGAAAUUUGUCUUAUUCACCAGAGGUGGAUCAAAACUUUUGACACCCAAUCAUUUGGUCAAUUAUGCAUUAAAUAUGUCCUAGUAUUUUAGAAAAUUGAUUUGGUACAAUUUUGCAACAAAUAUAUGGUAGGUCCUUCACAAAAAAACUCAUUUCAGGCACUCAAAAAAUGAAAAAUUAGUCCAAAGAAAAUGAAAACUUUCUUAGGCAACAUUGUUUACCAUUCCAAGAUACACCCUUGUGCACGAUAUGAGAUCAUUUGAAUAAACUAUAUCAUGAAUGUGACCAUAUGAUUGAUCAUCUCACUUGAAAGCCAUGAAUCUUCACACAUAAUAGCUCAUUUCUGAGAACACUUUUUUAAAAGAAUUUCUGUAUUACAAGUUUUUAUUUUUUUCCUGUUAACUUGGUCACAUAUAAUGACACAAUGCGAGGGUUUUUUGAUUUUUUGUUUUUUUUUGAAUUUUUAUGCCCGUUUCAAAAUGCGUUCAAAACGGCGAAAAUGGCCGUUCCUAGCUUGUGGUUGGAUCUUGGAAAACAUUUGGUGUUUCUAUGAUUAAAUAGAUACUUAUGUACCUAAAAAUGAUUUUUGGAGAAAAUAAAGAUCAAACUAUGAGGCAGAUGUAGUUCAAAUUUGACCCGUUUCCAACUGAAUCGGCGGAAAUUUGUCUUUUUCACGAGAGAUGGAUCAAAACUUUUUACACCCAACCAUUUGAUCAACUAUGCAUUAAAUAUGGCCUAGUAUUUUAGAAAAUUGAUUUGGUACUAUUUUGCAACAAAUAUAUGGUAGGUCCUUCACAAAAAAAACUCAUUUUGGGCACUCAAAAGAAAUGGAAAAGGAAUUUUUAGUCCAAAGAAAAAGAAAACUUCCUUAGGCAACAUUGUUUGCCAUUCCAAGAUACACCCUUGUGCAUGAUAUAGAUCAUUUGAACAAGCUAUAUUAUGAAUGUGGCCAUAAGAUUGAUCAUCUCGCUUUAAAGCCAUGAAUCUUCACACAUGAUAGCUCAUUUCUAAGAACACUUUUUUAAAAGAAUUUCCGUAUUACAAGUUUAUUAUUUUUCACGAGAGGUGGAUCAAAACUUUUUACACCCAACCAUUUGGUUAAUUGUGCAUUAAAUAUUGGCUAGUAUGUCAGAAAAUUGAUUUGAUACAAUUUUGCAACAAAUAUAUGGUAGGUCCUUCACAAAAAAACUCAUUUUGGACACUGAAAAAAAUGGAAAAGGAAUUUUUUGUCCAAAGAAAAAGAAAACUUCCUUAGGCAACAUUGUUUGCCAUUCCAAGAUACACCCUUGUGCACGAUAUGAGAUCAUUUGACCAAACUAGAUCAUGAAUGUGGCCAUAAGAUUGAUCACCUCGCUUGAAAGCCAUGAAUCUUCACACAAGAUAGCUCAUUUCCGAGAACACAUUUUUAAAAGAAUUUCUCUAUUACAAGUUUAUUAUUUUUCAUGUUAACUUGGUCGCAUAUAAUGGCACAAUGCAAAGAUUUUCCAAUUAUUAUUAUUUUGAAUUUUUUAUGUCCGUUUCAAAAUGUGGUCAAAACGGCGGGCAUGACUGUUCCUAGAUAGUGGUUGAAUCUUGGAAAAGUUUUGGUGUUUAUCUGAUUAAAUGGAUACUUAUGUAUCUAGAAAUGAUUUUUGAAAAAAAUAAAGAUCAAACUAUUAGGCAGCUGUAGUUCAAAUUUGACCCGUUUCAUGCUGAAUCGGCGAAAAUUUGUCUUUUUCAUGAGAGGUGGAUCAAAACUUUUUACACCCAACCAUUUGAUCAAUUAUGCAUUAAAUAUUGCCUAGUAUUUUAGAAAAUUGAUUUGAUACAAUUUUGCAACAAAUAUAUGGUAGGUCCGUCGCAAAAAAAACUCAUUUUGGGCACUCAAAAAAUGGAAAAUGAAUUUUUAGUCCAAAGAAAAUGAAAACUUCCUUAGGCAACAUUGUUUGCCAUUCCAAGAUACACCCUUGUGCAUGAUAUAGAUCAUUUGAACAAACUAUAUUAUGAAUGUGGCCAUAAGAUUGAUCAUCUCGCUUGAAAGCCAUGAAUCUUCACACAUGAUAGCUCAUUUCUGAGAACACUUUUUUAAAAGAAUUUCCGUAUUACAAGUUUUUUAUUUUCUCCUGUCAAAUUAGUCACAUAUAAUGACACAAUGCGAAGGUUUUCCAAUUUUUUUUAUUUUUUGAAUUUGUUAUGCCCGUUUGAAAAUGCGUUCAAAACGGUGGGAAUGACUGUUCCUAGCUUGUGGUUGGAUCCUGGAAAUUUUUUGGUGUUUCUGUGAUUAAAUAGAUACUUAUGUACCUAAAAAUGAUUUUUGGAAAAAAAUAAAGAUCAAACUAUGAGGCAGCUGCAGUUCAUAUUUGACCCGUUUCCAGCUGAAUCUGCGGAAAUUUGUCUUUUUCACGAGAGGUGGAUCAAAACUUUUUACACCCAGCAAUUUGGUUAAUUGUGCAUUAAAUAUUGGCUAGUAUGUUAGAAAAUUGAUUAGAUACAAUUUUGCAACAAAUAUAUGGUAGGUCCUUCACAAAAAAACUCAUUUUGGACACUCAAAAAAAUUGGAAAAUGAAUUUUUAGUCCAAAGAAAAUGAAAAUUUCCUUAGGCAAUAUUGUUUGCCAUUCCAAGAUACACCCUUGUGCAUGAUAUGAGAUUAUUUGAACAAACUAUAUCAUGAAUAUGGCCAUAAGAUUGAUCAUCUCGCUUGAAAGCCAUGAAUCUUCAUACAUGAUAGCUCAUUUCUGAGAACACUUUUUUAAAAGAAUUUCCGUAUUACAAGUUUAUUAUUUUUCAUGUUAACUUGGUCACAUAUAAUGACACAAUGUGAAGGUUUUCCAUUUUUUUGUUUUUUUUGAAUUUUUUAUGCAUGUCUCAAAAUGUGGUCAAAACGGCGAGCAUGACCGUUCCUAGCUAGUGGUUGGAUCUUGGAAAAGUUUUGGUAUUUCUCUGAUUAAACAGAAACUUAUGUACCUAGAAAUGUUUUUUUGGAAAAAAUAAAGAUCAAACUAUGAGGCAGCUGCAGUUCAAUUUUGACCCGUUUCCUACUAAAUCCGCGAAAAUUUGUCUUUUUUAUGGGAGGUGUAUCAUAACUUUUGACACCCAACCAUUUGGUCAAUUGUGCAUUAAAUAUUGCCUAGUAUUUUAUAAAAUUGAUUUGAUACAAUUUUGCAACAAAUAUAUGGUAGAUCCUUCACAAAAAAACUCAUUUUGGACACUCAAAAAAUGGAAAAUGAAUUUUUAGUCUAAAGAAAAUGAUUUUUUCAUGCAAAGAAAAUGGAAACUCCCUUUGGAAGCAUUGUUUAACAUUUCAAUAUGCACACUUUUGCAUAGUGUGAGACCAUUUUAACAAACAAUGACAUAAAUGUGGUCAAAUUUGUCGGUACGAACGUUGUUAUCUAGGUGUGGAAUCUUGUGAAACUUUUGGUGUUUCUGUGAUGAAAUAGAUACUUUGAGUUGGUAGGUUCAAUUUUGAAACAAAGAGUUGGUAGGUUCUUUACAACAAAAUCGAAAUGAAAAAUGCUUUUUUCCGUGCAAAAAAUACCUAUAUUUCAAGCAAUUAAGACCAAUUGAGAUGGUCAUAAGAUUGUCAAAACGUUUACUGCGUUUUGAUUGGUCCACAGGCUUCUCACGCGGAUCACGUAUCAUACACCGUCGGAUAUUUCCGGAUCCGACGGCAGCCCUCACCCCCUCAUGGCCUCACCCUCUCACCCUAACCCUCUCUCCAACCCUAACCCUCUCCCUCCCUCAGAUCUCAAUCCGCCACCGCCCCUAUCCCUACCCCCACAUAGCCCAACCCAAUCCGCCGCCGUCCUCUACCCUGAUCCCUCCCUGCUCCGGCGAGCCGCCAUGAACCGUCUACGGGCGGGGAGCCCAGUCUACGGACGGCAGCGCAGCGGGAGCAGCAUGGGCUUCACCUCCUUGAGCAGUGUCUCCCCCUUCCACCACCGCUCCUCCUCCACCUCCUUCGCGGCCCCCCUCCCGGGCACCGCCGCUGGCGUCGGGGGCAUCUCCAACACCCGCACAGCUCGCCAAAACCAUAGACGUCGUCGCCGCCGCCCCUCGCACCAUGGUCGGCCCCUGCAUCGCCAGAUCUGAUUGAGGCAACCCACACCGCCACCCCAACCGCUGACCCACCCUCUCCCUCUCCCCUCGAUCCCUAGAUCCAUCCUCGCGCUCGGUCGCGCCGCCCUCCUCCUCUCUGCGCCACAUAGGGGCCGAGUGAAUUGGAGGAAGAAGAGGAAGGCAGGGAAAGCGGGAUCUCAGUCCAACCCGCGCCACAUGAUGGCUCCAACCCCCUGCCCACCAUAUCCUACCCUCCCGCCACAGCUUCUCUCCGCUGACUCACCACCACUUGCCGCCCCACCGUACCAAGCCAGGGACCGACCAUGGCCGCCGAGGUGGUAGCGCUCUCGCUGGCCUCCUGCCUGCCGUCCCUCUCCUCCUGGCCUAACGCUCUAACAUCCUCCUCCUCCCGGUCCCGAGCACCUUGCGGCGCCCGUGCCCCCAGGUCACUUCUAGCGCUCGCCAUCUCAGCGUCUGCUACGUCUUGAGUUUGCGUUGGUUUUCCUUGAAGAGGAAAGGGUGAUGCAGCAAUAGUAGCAUAAGUAUUUCCCUUAGUUUUUGAGAACCAAGGUAUCAAUCCAGUAGGAGGCUCCUCAAAAGUUCCACGCACCUACACAAACAAACAAAGAACUCGCAACCAACGCAAUAAAGGGGUUGUCAAUCCCUUCACGGCCACUUGCGAAAGUGAGAUCUGAUAGAGAUAGUAUGAUAAGAUAAAUAUAUUUUUGGUAUUUUAUAAUAUAGAUGCAAAAAAGUAAGGAUGCAAAUAAAAGUAGAUUGAAAGCUAAUAUGAUAAAACAUAGACCCGGGGGCCAUAGGUUUCACUAGUGGCUUCUCUCAAGAUAGCAUCAGUAUUAUGGUGGGUGAAAAAUUACUGUCGAGCAAUUGAUAGAAAAGCGAAUAAUUAUGAGAUUAUCUAGCCAUGAUCAUGUAUAUAGGCAUCACGUCCAUGACAAGUAGACCGACUCCUGCCUGCAUCUACUACUAUUACUCCACACAUCGACCGCUAUCCAGCAUGCAUCUAGAGUAUUAAGUUCAUAAGAACAGAGUAACGCAUUAAGAAAGAUGACAUGAUGUAGAGGGAUAAACUCAAGCAAUAUGAUAUAAACCCCAUCUUUUUAUCCUUGGUGGCAACAAUACAAUACGUGCCUUGCAACCCUUUGUGUCAUUGGUAAGGACACCGCAAGAUUGAACCCAAAGCUAAGCACUUCUCCUAUGGCAAGAAAGAUCAAUCUAGUAGGCCAAACCAAACUGAUAAUUCGAAGAGACUUGCAAAGAUAACUCAAUCAUACAUAAAAGAAUUCAGAGAAGAUUCAAAUAUUUCUCAUAGAUAAACUUGAUCAUAAACCCACAAUUCAUCGGAUCUCGACAAACACACCGCAAAAAGAGUUUACAUCAAAUAGAUCUCCACAAGAGAGGGGGAGAACAUUGUAUUGAGAUCCAAAAAGAGAGAGGAAGCCAUCUAGCUAAUAACUAUGGACCCGAAGGUCUGUGUUAAACUACUCACAACUCAUCGGAGGGGCUAUGGUGUUGACGUAGAAGCCCUCCGUGGUCGAUCCCCCCUCCGGUGGAGCACCGGCGAAGGCUCCAAGAUGGGAUCUCGCAGAUACAGAAGGUUACGGUGGAGGAAAUAUUUCUUCGGUGGCUCCCUGGAUGUUUUCGGGGUACGUAGGUAUAUAUAUGAGGAAGAAGUACGUCGGUGGCCGCUCGAGGGGCCCAGGAGACAGGGGGCGCGCCCAGGAGGGGUGGGCGCGCCCUCUUAUCUCCUGGCCGCCUCGAUUGCUUCUUGACCUGCACUCCAAGUCCUCUGGAUCGCGUUCGUUCCAAAAAUCACGCUCCCGAAGGUUUCAUUCCGUUUGGACUCCGUUUGAUAUUCCUUUUCUUCGAAAUACUGAAAUAGGCAAAAAACAGCAAUACGGGCUGGGCCUCUGGUUAGUAGGUUAGUCCCAAAAAUGAUAUAAAUGUGUAAAAUAAAGCCCAUAAACAUCCAAAAGGGGUAAUAUAAUAGCUUGGAACAAUCAAAAAUUAUAGAUACGUUGGAGACGUAUCAAGCAUCCCCAAGCUUAAUUCCUGCUCGUCCUCGAGUAGGUAAAUGAUAAAAACAGAAUUUUUGACGUGGAAUGCUACCUAGCAUAAUUCUCAAUGUAAUUUUCUUUAUUGUGGCAUGAAUGUUCAGAUCCAAAUGAUUCAAGAUAAAAGCUUAUAAAACAUAAAAAUAAUAAUACUUCGAAGCAUAUUAACAAAUAAUCAUGUCCUAUCAAAAUAGCAUAGCCAAAGAAAGCUUAUCCCUACAAAAUCAUAUAGUUAGGCCAUGCUUCAUUUUCAUUACACAAAAUACUCCCAUCAUGUACAACCCCGAUGAAGAGCCGAGCAAUUGGUUCAUACUUUUUAACGCGCUCUGCUUUUUUCAACUCUUACGCAAUACAUGAGCGCAAGCCAUGGACAUAGCACUAUGGGGGUAUAUGGUGGUGGUUGUAAGAACAAAAAGGGAGAAGAUAGUCUCACAUCAACUAGGCAUAUCAACGGGCUAUGGAGAUGCCCAUUAAUAGAUAUGAAUGUGAGUGAGUAGGUAUUGCCAUGCAACGGAUGCACUAGAGCUAUAAAUGUAUGAAAGCUCAACAAAAGAAACUAAGUGAGUGUGCAUCCAACUUGCUUGUUCACGAAGACCUAGGGAAUUUUGAGGAAGCCCAUCAUUGGAAUAUACAAGCCAAGUUCUAUAAUAAAAAAUUCCCACUAGUAUAUGAAAGUGACAACAUAGGAGACUCUAUAUCAUGAAGAUCAUGGUGCUAUUUUGAAGCACAAGUGUGGAAAAGAGAUAGUAGCAAUUGUCUCUUCUCUCUUUUUCUCUCAUUUUAUUAUUUUUUUCUUUUUCUUUUUUUUCUUUUUUUCUUUUUUUCUUUGGCCUUUCUUUUUUUUCUUUUUGGCCUUUUUUUUGUAAAGUCUGAAGUCUCAUCCCGACUUGUGGGGGAAUCAUAGUCUUCAUCAUCCUUUCCUCACUGGGACAAUGCUCUAAUAAUGAAGAUCAUCACACUUUUAUUGAUUUACAACUCAAAGCUAGAACAAGAUAUGACUCUAUAUGAAUGCCUCCGGAAGUGUACCGGGAUAUGCAAUGAAUCAAGAGCGACAUGUAUGAAAAUUAUGAAGGUGGCUUUGCCACAAAUACGAUGUCAACUACAUGAUCAUGCAAAUAGCAAUAUGACAAUGAUGGAGCGUGUCAUAAUAAACGGAACGGUGGAAAGUUGCAUGGCAAUAUAUCUCGGAAUGGCUAUGGAAAUGUUAUAAUAGGUAGGUAUGGUGGCUUUUUUGAGGAAGGUAAAUAAUGGGUGCAUGAUACCGGCGAAAGUUGCGCGAUAUAAUAGAAGCUAGCUAAAUGGAAGGAUGAGUGUGCGUAUAUCCAUGGACUCACAUUAGUCAUAAGGAACUCAUAUACUUAUUGCAAAAGUCUACUUAGCCCCCGAAGCAAAGUACUACUACGCAUGCCCCUAGAGGGAUAGAUUGGUAGGAAAAUACCAUUGCUCAUCCCCGACUGCCACUCAUAAGGAAGACACUCAAAAGAGCACCUCAUGCAACAAAUUUGUCACACAACUUUUACCAUACGUGCAUGCUACGGGACUUGCCAACUUCAACACAAGUAUUUCUCAAUUUCAUAAUUACCCAUUAGCAUGACUCUAACAUUACUACCUUUAUAUCUCAAAACAAUUAUCAAGCAUCAAAUUGAUCCUAGUGUUUAAUGCACUUUCUAUGAUAGUUUUUAUUAUAUCCAAUUUGGAUGCUCAUCAUUCUAGGACCAAAUUCAUAACCAUAGCAAAUACCAUGCUUUUCUAAGAGACUCUCAAAAUAAUAUAAGUGAAGCAUGAGAGACUAGCAAUUUCUACAAAAUUAAGCCACCGCCGUGCUCUAAAAGAUAUAAGUGAAGCACUAGAGCAAAAACUAUCUAGCUCAAAAGAUAUAAGUGAAGCACAAGUGGGCUUCUCCCUAAAGGUGUGUACAGCAAGGAUGAUUGUGGUAAACUAAAAAGCAAAUACUAAUAUAAUACACGAUGCUCCAAGCAAAACAUAUAUCAUGUGGCGAAUAAAAAUAUAGCUCCAAGUAAAGUUACCAAUGAACAAAGACGAAAGAGGGGAUGCCUUCCGGGGGCAUCCCCAAGCUUAGGAUUUUGUCUAUUCUUGAAUAUCUUGUGGUGCCUUGGGCAUCCCCAAGCUUAGGCUUUUGCCGCUCUUUAUUCCAUAGUCCAUCAAAGCUUUACCCAAAACUUGAGAACUUCACAACACAAAACUCAGCAGGAAAUCUCAUAAGCUCCGUUAGUGAAAGAAAAGAAAAUCACCACAAAAGGUACUGCAAUGAACUCAUUCUUUAUUUAUAUUGGUGUUAAACCUACUGUAUUCCAAGUUCUCUAUGGUUGAUACCACUUAAUACUAGCCAUAGAUGCAUCAAAAUAAGCAAACAACACACGAAUAACAGAAUCUGUCAAAAACAAAACAGUCUGUAGCAAUCUGUAACUAACGCAAACUUCUGGAACUCUAAAAACCUACCAAAAUAGUACGUCCUAAACAAUUUGUUUAUUGAUCAGCAGAAAAAGAAUCAAUGCAAAAUCACGUUUGUGUGAUUUAUUUAUUUUUUUCUCGUGAGCACAAAGUUUCUGUUUUUUCAGCAGAAUCAAAUCAACUAUCAUCAUAGGUUAUCCUAUAGGUUCUACUUGGCACAAACACUAAUUAAAACAUAAAAACACAUAUUAAACACAAGGUAGAAGCAAAAUUUAUUACUAAACAGGAACAAAUACAAAAAACACAAAGAAAAUUGGGUUGCCUCCCAACUAGCACUAUCGUUUAACGCCCCUAGCUAGGCAUAAAAGCGAAGAUAGAUCUAAGUAGUGCCAUCUUUGGCACUUGAUUCAUAGGUAGCUCGCAUGAUAGAUUCAUAAGGUAAUUUGACUUUAUUUCUUGGAAAGUGCUCUAUGCCUUUCUUUAAUGGAAAUUGGAAUCUAAUAUUCCCUUCCUUCAUAUCAAUAAUCGCACCAAUCGUUCUAAGGAAAGGUCUACCAAGAAUAAUAGGGCAAGAAAGAUUGCAAUUUAUAUCAAGAAUGAUAAAAUCUAUGGGCACCAAAUUUAUAUUUGCAACAAUGAGAACAUCAUUGAUCCUUCCCAUUGGCUUUUUAAUGGUGGAAUCCGCAAGGUGCAAAUUUAAAGAGCAAUCAUCAAGAUCAUGGAAACCUAGAAUAUCACAUAAAGUUUUCAGAAUCGCGGAGACACUAGCACCCAAAUCACACAAAGCAAAACACUCAUGACCUUUAAUUUUAAUCUGUAUAGUAGGUUCCCACUCAUCAUUAAGUUUUCUAGGUAUAGAAACUUCCAAAUUAAGUUUUUCAUCACAAGAUUGCAUCAAGGCAUCAACGAUAUGUUUGGUAAAAGCUUUAUUUUGACUAUAAGCAUGAGGAGAAUUAACAACAGAUUGCAACAAGGAAAUAAAACUUUCUAAAGAACAAUCAUCAUAAUCAAAUUCCUUGAAAUCCGAGAUAGUGGGUUCAAUUCUAUUUAAAGUCAUGACCUCUCCAAUCCCACUUUUACCAAAUUUAGCAUCAAGAUCUAAAAACUCUGAAUUCUUGGGACGCCUUCUAAAUAAAGUUGACUCAUCUCCAGUCCCAUUAUUAUCAAGAUUCAUAUUGCAAAACAAAGAUCUAAUAGGAGACACAUCAAUAACUUUAAGAUCUUCAUCAUUAUUUUCAUGGAAACUAGAAGAACACACCAUUACAAAGCAAUCUUUCUUAGCACGCAGUCUAGCGGUUCUUUCCUUGCACUCAUCAAUGGUAAUUCUCAUGGCUUUGAGAGACUCAUUGAUAUCAUGCUUAGGAGGAGUAGAUCUAAGUUUAAGAGAAUCAACAUCAAGCGAAAGUCUAUCAAGGUUCUAGCCGAAUCGUCAACUUUGAGCAAUUUUUUCAAGCAGGGCAUUAAAAUUCUUUUGAGAGAUCAUAAAUUCUUUCAUAGUAUUCUCAAAAUCAGAGGGUAUCUUAUUAAAAUUACCAUAGGAAUUAUUGUAGGAAUUUCCAUAAUUAUUAGAGGAAUUACUAGGGAACGGUCUAGAAUUAAAGUUUCUAUAAGCAUUGUUUCCAAAACUAUUCCUACCAACAAAAUUCACAUCCAUAGAUUCAUUAUUAUUCUCAAUCAAAGUAGACAAAGGCAUAUCAUUGGGAUCAAAAGGAGUAUUUUUAGUAGCAAACAACUUCAUAAGUUCAUCCAUCUUUCCACUCAAAACAUUAAUUUCUUCUAUUGCAUGCACUUUUUUACUAGAAGAUUUUUUAGUGUGCCAUUGAGAAUAAUUAGCCAUAAUAUUAUCAAGAAGUUUUGUAGCAUAUCCUAACGUGAUUUCCAUAAACGUGCCUCCCGCGGCCGAGUCUAAAGGAUUUCUAGAAGCAAAGUUCAAACCGGCAUAAAAAUUUUGUAUGAUCAUCCAUAAAUUCAAACCAUGAGUAGGGCAAUUGCGAAUCAUGAAUUUCAUUCUUUCCCAAGAUUGGGCAACAUGCUCAUGAUCAAGUUGUUUAAAAUUCAUAAUAUCGUUCCUAAGAGUGAUAAUCUUAGUGGGAGGAAAAUACUUAGAGAUAAAAACAUCUUUGCACUUGUUCCAAGAAUCAAUACUAUUUUUAGGCAAAGACAAAAACCAAACUUUAGCACGAUCUCUAAGUGAAAAUGGAAAUAACUUCAAUUUAUAAAUAUCAUUAUCCGUAUCUUUCUUCUUUUGCAUAUCACACAAAUCAACAAAGUUGUUUAGAUGAGUAGCGGCAUCUUCACUAGGAAGGCCAGCGAAUUGAUCUUUCAUAACUAGAUUCAGCAAAGCAGUAUUGAUUUCACAAGACUCAACAUCAUUAAGAGGAGCAAUCGGAGUACUAAGGAAAUCAUUAUUAUUGGUGUUGGAGAAAUCACACAAUUUGGUAUUAUCUUGUGCCAUGGCAAAAAUAAUCCAACACACAAGCAAACAGAAAAGGGCAAGCGAUAAAGAGAGAGAAGAAGGCAAGAGAAAAAGAGAGGAGAUUGGGAAAGAGAGGGCAAAUAAAAUGGCAAGGGUGAAGUGGGGGAGAGGAAAACGAGAGGCAAAUGGCAAAUAAUGUAAAUGCGAGGGAGAUGAGUUUGUGAUGGGUACUUGGUAUGUCUUGACUUGAGCGAAGACCUCCCCGACAACGACGCCAGAAAUCCUUCUUGCUACGUCUUGAGCUUGCAUUGGUUUUCCUUGAAGAGGAAAGAGUGAUGCAGCAAUAGUAGCGUAAGUAUUUCCCUCAGUUUUUGAGAACCAAGGUACCAAUCUAGUAGGAGGCUCCUCAAAAGUCCCACGCACCUACACAAACAAACAAAGAACUCGCAACCAACACAACAAAGGGGUUGUCAAUCCCUUCACGACCACUUGCGAAAGUGAGAUCUGAUAGAGGUAGUAUGAUAAGAUAAAUAUAUUUUUGGUAUUUUAUAAUAUAGAUGCAAAAAGUAAAGAUGCAAAUAAAAGUAGAUUGAAAGCUAUAUGAUAAAAGAUAUACCCGGGGGCCAUAGGUUUCACUAGUGGCUUCUCUCAAGAUAGCAUAAGUAUUACGGUGGGUGAACAAAUUACUGUCGAGCAAUUGAUAGAAAAGCGAAUAAUUAUGAGAUUAUCUAGGCAUGAUCAUGUAUAGGCAUCACGUCCGUGACAAGUAGACCGACUCCUGCCUGCAUCUACUACUAUUACUCCAUACAUCGACCGCUAUCUAGCAUGCAUCUAGAGUAUUAAGUUCAUAAGAACAGAGUAACACAUUAAGAAAGAUGACAUGAUGUAGAGGGAUAAACUCAAGCAAUAUGAUAUAAACCCCAUCUUUUUAUCCUCGAUGGCAACAAUACAAUACGUGCCUUGCAACCCUUCCUGUCACUGGGUAAGGACACCGCAAGAUUGAACCCAAAGCUAAGCACUUCUCCCAUGGCAAGAAAGAUCAAUGUAGUAGGCCAAACCAAACUGAUAAUUCGAAGAGACUUGCAAAGAUAACUCAAUCAUACAUAAAAGAAUUCAGAGAAGAUUCAAAUAUUUCUCAUAGAUAAACUUGAUCAUAAACCCACAAUUCAUCGGAUCUCGACAAACACACUGCAAAAAGAGUUUACAUCGAAUAGAUCUCCACAAGAGAGGGGGAGAACAUUGUUUUGAGAUCCAAAAAGAGAGAAGAAGUCAUCUAGCUAAUAACUAUGGACCCGAAGGUGUGUGUUAAACUACUCACAACUCAUCGGAGGGGCUAUGGUGUUGAUGUAGAAGCCCUCCAUGGUCAAUUCCCCCUCCGGCGGAGCGCCGGCGAAGGCUCCAAGAUGGGAUCUCGCGGAUACAGAAGGUUACAGUGGCGGAAAUAUUUCUUCGGUGGCUCCCUGGAUGUUUUCGGGGUACGUAGGUAUAUAUAGGAGGAAGAAGUACGCCGGUGGCCGCUCAAAGUCUAUUGUUCUUUUUGUUGAUGCUGAUUGACAUGCGAGUGAAGUAGGCCAGGUGCAGCAGGUGGAGGAGGAGGUGGUGGACGACAACAUGCUCCCCUACUGCAGCAUCGAUGACAAGAAGAAGAAGACCAUCGGGGAGAUGGAGCAGGAGUUCCUACGAGCCCUGCAGGUACGCACCACCACUGAUUCAUGUUCUUGAUGUUUCAAUCGAUUACUCUGCUCUUCUCCUCAACAUGUACUCUUCUUGUGCAGUCCUUCUACUACGACUAGAAGGCCAUCAUGUCCAACGAGGAGUUCGACAACCUAAAGGAGGAGCUCAUGUGGGAAGGCAGCAUCGUCGUCAUGCUAAGUAGGCCGCCCUCACAAACUGGGCCUUUCCAUUGCACUAAACUCCCGAGUCUCAUAUCAUAUUACAGCUAUCUUUUCAUUGCAUUAUGCAAGUCACUGAUAAGAGUGAGAUUGAAGUUAUAUUUUUUCAACCAUGUUAUGAUCUUUCAACAUGCAUGAUUUGCUGCAAUGGUUUCUAUAUACUGUCAUGGUAUGAUCAUUUGACCACCCUAUCUCUAUGUGUGUGUAGAUAAUGUCGAGAGACGAUGACAACACAGUGAUGGAGGCGGUGGACUCGGAGGUGUCGUUGACAUGCACGGACAUGGGGCUGGUCCAGAAGGCGUUCCAGCUGGCCCUGCUGUGCACCAAGUGGCACCCCAUUGACCGGCCGAUGAUGCUUGAGGUGGCCCAGGUGCUGCUCUCGCUCAUGCCGGCCCCUACCCUCCAGGUCCCAUCCUCAUGCCUGCUCCCUCUUCCUCUCAGAUAUUGGAUUGAAGUAGGGAUAAACCCUUCUCCAUAUUGUGUGUCGAUUAUCUGUAUUAUGUGUAGAACAAUCAUGGUGUCUAUUUCCGCUUUAUGCCCCAUGUUUCACUAAUAACAUGCCCAACUUCCUGCUCUGUAGGAAAUAAGUACAUGAUUGUUUAUCCUCCUGUAUAAUAGUUUAAGUUUGUGACCUGAUCUUGUGCUUCUGGUAGCUAGUCCAAUUUGUGCACUUUUAAGUGUCUUCUGAUGUGGUGGUGCCAAACAAAACUCAUAUGCUUAUGCUGAGCUUACUUUUAAUCUUGUGAACAUGACAAUUUAGAGGAUGUACUGUAGUUCCACUCAUUUUAUUCUUUGUGAUGAGCUUAUUUUUGUAUUGUAGCCACCUUCUUGUUUACUUUGGUGAAUCAGGUCUUGUGUACUAAUCAUGAGUUACUAGCAUUUGGCUUCUCUUGUGAAAUUAAACCUGAUAAAUCUGUAUACUUCUUUGAGAUACAAAUUCCACAAUUCAUGUUUACGAGGUUCAAUUUCUUUAGAUUUUGCCAAAUAUUGGUAUCAACGUGUCUUUCCUUAGGGGUUGAUUUAAACCUCAUAUGAUCUACUGUAUUUUUUUGCUGUUCAAACAUUGAAAUUCUGGUUCAUUUUUCAAACAUCGAAAUGUUGUUGACCCUAUCAUUCUAUGCUUAAAUGAUGAAAAAAUCGUAUUUUGCUUGUUCUAACAUGCUGUUAGAUUUGCUUUUAUUUUGUUCCUAACCAUUUUGUUUCAUAACUUGCAGAUGCUAGCCUUCCUUCGUGUUUUGUCGUGAGGUCCAGGAUGAACAAUUCAGGAGAAGCAUAUAGUUCUAGCUCAUUGGAGAUAGUUAUACUGUGAUAGUAGUUAUAUUUUUUGAUAGUUGUGUUACCUGAUGUGAACUUUUUAUUAUUGUAAACCUGAUGUUAACCAUGGUUGAUUGUAAUAAUGUGCCAAGUUUGGCUCUGUUCGAUUGUAUUCAUCAUGUGAACAAUGUUUUUCCGGAUUAGUUAUGCUUUGUUUGAAGCAUUUUAUUUUUUGUCUAUUCUGAUUUAAUAUUGUUAUUUAUUUACUGGAAAAUUGUGAUCUGAAGAAUAUAACCGUGACAACUGGGUCCCACUUAUUAGAAUUGGUCCCAUCUCACUAGUGGGCCCAUCUUUUGAAAAAAAACUCAUAAACUUUGGAGCCAAAAAGGCCAUGACCCAGAAAAUAAAAAGGCCAAAUUGCUGGGCCUAGUCCAUGGGAACUAACAAUAAAAAAGGAUGCAAUAUUGGGCUUGGCCCAUGAACCCGACCAAAUAUUGGUAAAAAUAAAAAUAAAAAGGCUGAAUUAAUGGGCUCGGCCCAUGUAAAAUACCGAACUGAACCGGGCUGAUUCUUAUCCACAUAAGCUUGCCACGCUGGAUCCUACGUGGCCUUGGGAGGCUGCCAGUGACAAAAAAUCUGGUCGUAGAUCAACGACCUUUUACAUAUCACAAAGAAGCUCAUUAAUUUCCAUUAACGACCGUCAGCUUUUGACCAUCUAUUUUUGGUCAAAAAAGGUCGCAAAUGAAAAACGACGACCUUUCAGCGACCAAUAGUGAUGGUCGCAAGUUGACAUAUUUGUUGUAGUGACUGUCAAGUUCGUGAACUUGUCGAACACCAACGCCCUCGACGUCGAUCAAGCCAUGUUUGCUGAUUUUGAUUACAAUGAAAUGAAGGGUGGCAUGGAUGAUCACGGUGGUGAAUAUGAAGUGGAGGAGGUAGAUGAGGGAGCCUAUGAGCAAGCGCAAGCAAAAAAGCAUGAGAUCGAAGAACUACACGAUGUUGGAAGAUCAAAUCUUGAUCAAAGCUUGGAGUGCGGUGUCUCUUGAUGCUUGCACGGGUACAUCUCAAACCACCAAGAGAUAUUGGCAAAGAAUCUAAGAUCAAUACUUCCGCAUGACAAGGAAGCAUCCCAAUAGGACUCGACGGACCUUUCGGUCACUCCAAUGUCGUUGGGACGUGAUCAAGCUGAUUUGUAGCUAUUGGGCUAUUUGCUUGGAACAAGUUCGCAAUGCACCUCCAAGUGGAACCAUGGAAUCCGACUAUGUGAGUUUGUUUUCGCGUCCCAAGUUGUGCACAUCAUUUGUACCAUAUGAAGUCUUUGCAUCAUUUGACUUUGUUUGAAUUGUGUAGGACAAAAUUGCCCAACAAAGAUACAAAGACAUGGAAGCAUCUGAAGGCAAAAAAAUUAAACUAGAGCAUUGUUGGGACUUUCUCAAAGAGUGCGACAAGUGGACGUUGAUUGACAAAGAAUCCCCACCGAAGAGAAGUUCACUUACGAACAUGGAUGAAGAUGAAGGUGAUGAUGGACCAAGAAACUUGAACAAGCCCGAUGAUGACAAGAAGACAAAGAAGAAGAUCAAGAGGGAACCCGAAACAUCGAGCUUGCGGGACAAGAGAGAUGCCAUGGUGCAAUCAAAUGAAUUGAUGUUAGCGAAGACCUUGGAGUCAAAGAAAGAGUUGGCCGAGAAGAAGGGACGGGAGAAUCAAGAGAAGCGAAAAUUGCUCAAGGAUGAGGGGUUGCGCAAGGCGGCCAUUGAGGAGAGAAGAGCACGUGCCAUUGAGAACAAAGCCAUGUCCAAGCUUCUUGCCGAAGAGAAUAGGGUCAUGACAUUGAACCACAAUGACAUGGACGAUAUCACCAAAGAAUGAAAUGAUAUGGCAAGGAGAGACAUCUUGAAGAGGAGGAUGCUUGCGGCGGCCGGUGCGUGUUACAAUGUCGACGAUGUUUUCUCAUCGGGAUUUAGAACCAAUGUCGCCGAUGCAUUUAGUGCGCCCAGCGAUGCUUUCGGUCCGGAGUUGGAAGAAAUGCCGGUGAUGGAUUUGGGGGCGGCGAUGGCAUCGAUGGAGGUGGUGCGGAGUGAAGAUCAUGAUAAUGGGUGAAAAGUGACCAAGAUAAUGAUGGACGUGGUCGUCACUUUUACAUGAAGUCCUUUUGUGUCUGUCGUACAAAACUAUGCUUUUAUUUGCGCGCGAACUAUGUUUUCUUAUUUGAAUUUGAAUUCAAUUGUUGGAAUCACUGUCAAAUCACUUAUUGGUGGUUUUCGGUUUGUGGGUCGAUGCGGGCUGUGACCGAGCAGACCCCGUGUAGCCGACCCAUAAAAGAGCAUAUUCUGCGAAUAUCUUUUUUUACGGGGUUUGACACUACCACUGCCCGCGCCAACCCGCAAAGCCGUUUUUCCGCGAACUGUAUACGUGUUUUGCGGGUUGGCAUUAUACGGGGUCUGCUAGAGAUGCUCUUAUACUAUUACCUGUGUCCUACUUUAUUGGCCCUCAGUAUAUUUUGUGUCAAAUUUUGACCGUAAAUUUAACUAACAAAAUGUUCUGGCAUGUCACCAAAUAUUAUAUCAUUCAAAACUAUGUUCAGAUAUGAAUCCAAUAAUAUAAUUUUUGUUGAGAUGCCUUAACAUUUUGAUAGUUAAAACCUUGAUCAAAAUUUGACACAAAUUACAAAGGGGACCAAUAAACCAAGACGGAGGUAGUAGUUUAUACUAGUGUCAUGCAUAUGACACUAAUCUUAGUUACUAUCUCCAUAGUGUAAAGAAACAUAAUAGUAAUGUUAUAGAUGGCUUUGUUUCUUAACUUGUAGACUCAUCUUCUUUUGGGAAGUGUUAUGUUACAAUAACAUAGUAUGUUACUCUAAACAUAUCUCUUCUCAUUAAAUACAUGCCACUUAAGCAAAUUCAUCUUGAAUUGCGCUAUGUUACUUGCUAAGUUACUCCCACUAUGACUAGCUUGAUGUGCAGUGGCCAGGACCCCGUUGCAGAGUAGGCCUUGAUCUUUUUUUAUUCAGAAAGAAUGUAUAUUUGUGAAAUAUAAAAAAUUCAUCGGAAGAUAACUAAAUUACAUCAAAAAAAUUGAAUCACCGAAUGACCACUACCUCUAACCAUUGUCACUCCUUCCAUACCGUCCCCGGGCUAACAUUGUUGUUGACUGCCAGAAAGUCUUCGUGCGCGUGACUCAAUGGACCGGCGCCCAGGAGCCAUAGUCGCCAUCGUUGAAACCUCGAAUUGAUCUGAAGUGCUUGACAUCAGAUCUUGUAGCCACACACGUACGUCAAGAAAGCCUAAUGUAAUGUUCCAACCAGAUCCACUGAUUUCCGGCCAUUACACAUGACGGGAUCUAGACUAACCACAAAUACCAACAUUAGUCUUUCAUACACACUUGUCCUUACUCGGGCCACCAUGUGCACCUUGUAUCUAACUUCUCAAUUGGCAACUCAUCCUCAAAUUGCUUCAAGCCAUACAUAUUUAACUUUGAGUUUCCUUGCGUAUAGGUUUGUGGAAAAAAGAAGAAAUUACUUGUUGAUAGGAGUAAUCUAUCAUUCCUAUUAAGCAAGAAUGUCACAUCUAACCUCUUGCCCCAAGGUGACAACGUGAAUCUACAUCGAAACUCCGUCCUAAUGAACAAAUUCGAACAGAAUUGAAACCCAAAAGAUUAACUCGAAGAUGAAGCGCUUCCAUCCGCCAGAGCGACGCCCAUGGAAGGGCAAAAAAACCUAACCUAAACUACUAGUCAGAGCUAAGACACCAGGAUUCCCCUCUCUCGCCAUCAGUCGCCAGAGCGACAGGUAGAGGAGAGUCGAAUCCAGAAGUUGGUUGAUGAAGCUUGGAGACACCUUCCAAAGCAUUUUGCUCUCACUAUAAUUAUUAUGGACUACUGGCAUAUUUGGCAGCAAAGAAAUGUAUGUGUUUUUUAGCACAUCAACCCCUCUGUGCAGGCCUAGAGACUGAUUUUUCUCCAACGUAUCUAUAGUUUAUGAAGUAUCCAUGUUGUUAUAUUAUCAUUCUUGGAUGUUUUACAAUCAUUUUAUAGCAACUUUAUAUAAUUUUUGGGGACUAACCUAUUGACAUAGUGCCCAGUGCCAGUUGGUAUUUUUUGCUUGCUUUUUACUUCGCAUGAAAUCAAUAUCAAACGGAGUCCAAACGUAGCAAAACUUUUUGGAGAAUAUUUAUGGAACAGAAGACCCAGGAUGGGCCAAAGAAGUACCAGAGGGGUGCCCACCUUGGUGGCCUCCCGCACCGCCUCUUUUCCCUAUGAAUUCCUAAAUAUUCCAGACCCCCCCCCCCAAAAAAUAACCCUAGAUCAAAAGUUCCGCCACCGCAAGCCUUUGUAGCCACGAAAACCCAAUCUAGACCCCAUUUCGGCACUCUGCCAGAGGGGGAAAUCAUCACCGAUGGCCAUCUGCAUCAUCCUGGCGGCCACCAUGAUGAGGAGGGAGUAGUCCACCUAUCAGAGUAUUGGGCCAUGGGUAGCCUCACCCAGGUCCCAGGACUUAUCAAGACUUUGGGCCAGCUCCGCCUAGCUAGGCCCCAAGCUAAAGCUCCACCCUCUGAGGGCCGGCUGGCUGUACGACCAGCUACUAGAGGGCGGCCAACCCCAACCUACAGCACUGCGUGUGGCCGGCUCCAGCCCGCCGGCCUCUAGGGAGGGCGGCAUCGGGCAGGCGGCCACCUCGCGGCCUCGGAGCAACCGAGCCCCCAUCGAGAGUACAAGUUAGAGCAUGGCUACAGUGAAGCACGUCGCCCCCGACGCCCGGGGCAGAUGUGGCUACAGUGCUCCGUACAGGCGGAGAUCUCCGCACGAAGGGGCACUGUGCCAUGUCUCCCCUAACGUCGCUCCGAGCAGGUGGAGUCCUGUUCCCCACGACGGCCUGUCGGUACGACCUGACGACGGCGGGCCCUAUAAGGCAGAGACUCCGUAGAAGACGGCGGAAGCUCAGUCACUCGGACGCGAGAAGGGCCGGCCUCCAGCAGGCGGCCGUCCCUUGCCCCGAGGCAAGCAUGCCAUUAAGAUGAUGUGACCAGGUGUGGCUACAGUGAUCUCCCACCAGGCGGCGGGACUAUAGCCACGCUGAAGAUGACCAAGCCCCCGUCACCAACGGCACGACUACAGUAAGCAGCCACCAACCAGUCGGCGGGGACCACCAGGCGGCGGGCCCCAACGGCCGGUGGAGAAGCCGGAGGCUAGAGACACUGACAACCGGGCCCAACACCCGGACGGAUUACCAUUGUACCCCUGGGGAGUAGGCCUAUAUAAACCCCCUAGGGCACCCAUGCAAGGGGUUCCAACUCUGAUAGAACUAGCCAGUCACCUAGGGCAGGGAAGUGCUAGCCUUGCCUUCUCCUACCUCUAGACACAGCUCAAGGAGCACUUUGUAUCACUAGUGCCUUAGUGAUCAUGCGGAGACCCCGCAGAGCAGGAGUAGGGGUAUUAUCUCCAUGGAGAGCCCCCAACCUGGGUAAAGUUCGCCGGCAUACGUGCCUACGCCUUAUCCCGCUUCCAGGCACCGGUGACGUUCUACUCGCUCCCACCAUGAUAAGCCAUCCUUUGGAAUAUGUCGCACCCAACCCCUGACAUUUGGCGCCCACUAUGGGGCGAGGUGCACCAUCUUACGGAGAUUUUCUCUGGAUGGGAACCCUGUUCCUUCCCGGCGAGCAAAGCCAGCCGAGAACGCCUGAUGGUGUCAGCCCCGACGCGCUGCACGGCGCGGAGAUCGCCUGCGCAGCGAGCUGCCUCGCCGACCUCGUACGCGGGAUCGACCUCUUCGAUGAGCCAGCCUCCGACGCGGGCACUAGCUGCCCUGAGAGCCGCCUCGUCAGCCUCCUCGACCAGCUCCAUGUCACCAGCGAGCCUGCUGUGGACCUGGAGUCUGUUGGCUCCACCGAUCUGAUGAUCGUCAACUCUGACACGACGUCGUUCGAUGCGUUCCCCAUCAACGUGGUGGUCUACGACGAGCCGCGUCCUCGCAAGCACAGCGGAGGAAGCACUGUCACGGAGGUGCUCGUCAUCAACAGCGGGGAGCACUCGGACGAGCACACUCGAGACCCUCUCGACGCGGCUCUGCGCGACCUAACAGCGCUCAUCCCAGAGGGCAUGCAUGCUGAGGCGCUAGAGGCACGCCGCCUCCAACUUCUCGAGAGCGCCGGCCGCCUGGCCAGCAUGUGCCGACUCUCGGACGCCUACCGGCGCGAGAUGGAUCGGGCCAUAGGCGGCACGCCGGCUCCUAAGGGGCCUAGCCGCCUCGGCAAGGUUUGGCAGCAUGGCGCGACCGUCGCUAGUAUGUUCGGGGCAGAGCGCCCCGUCUAUGCCACGCCUACAGAGAACAUCCGGGCCGCCCAGGCGGUGAUGGACGAGCUGGCAAGUAUGAUGGUGAUGAGCACCGCCACAUGACGGAGCGAGUCCAGCAGCUCCUAGACGCGGCCACCGCGCAACACGAGUCCGGCUGCCGCACUGAAGUUCCAGCCCGACGAAACAACGAGCCGCCCCCACGCCAAGAUCAUGGGACGACAUCCCGGACACCGACUGGUGGCGCCCGCGGAGGAAAAGGCAAUGAGCCGGCUACCAGCCGCAGUCGAACGCGCCUCUCCAUCGAGCGAGACGAAGAUGGCCGCCCACACGCGGUGGAGCAGCGAGGCGACCAGCCGCCUCCUCCGCCUCGCAGAGCGAGGCAUCCCACUCUGCCUCCUGUCACGCACCCGACACUCAGCGACCACCUUGGCCGCCGAGAGGGAGUCGAAGAGAACGACGCCCGCCAUCGGAUCGAUCGCCUCAACCGAUCCCUAGAUCUAGAAGAAGAAGACGCCCUGGGCCCGCCCUGUUUCGGCCCCCGAAUCCGAGAUGAGCCCUUCCCCAAAGGGUUCACUCUCCCGCAAGAUACGCCCAAAUACACCGGCUCCGUGAAGCCAGAGGACUGGCUGGUCGAUUACUCCAUGGCCAUCAGCAUAGUGAACGGCAACAAGCGCGUUGCCGUGAAGUACGUUCCGCUCAUGCUCUAGGGCACUGCCCGGACGUGGCUCAACAGUCUGAAGCCCCACAGCAUCAACAGCUGGGUGGAUUUCACCGAGGCCUUCAUCCGCAACUUCACCAGCACGUACAAGCGGCCUCCCAAGCCCCGGCAGCUCUCCUUGUGCAUCCAAGGGCCCAGCGAAUUGACUCGCGACUACCUCACGCGCUGGGCCGGGCUGCACAACUCCUGCGAGGGCAUGCACGAGGUGCAGGCCAUCGAGUACUUCACCGUCGGGUGCCGAGAAGGCACCCUCCUCAAGCACUGGCUUCUCUUCAAUGAGCCUACAACUCUCGACGAACUGUUGAUCAUCGCUGACAAACACGCCACGGCCGACUCCUCCAUCAAGGCGGAGAUAUUAGUCGUUGCAUCCGGCAAGGUAGCGCCUCAGGCUCCUCGGACUCCGGCUGGCGAGACCAGUCGGAGACAGCCCCCAAGCAACAACAAGCGGAAGGCCACCCAGCCGGCCUCCAACAGCCGGCAGGUGGCGAGAGUCGAGGAUCAGCAGCCGGAAGGGCAGCCAGCACCCAAGCGUCAGAAGGGUGGCAAGCCCAACUGGCUGCCCGCCUUCUCGUACAAGUAGACCCUUGAUGCUCCCUGCAAGUUUUACAGUGGCGUGAAGCCGUGCAACCACACCACCCGGAAGUGCCACUGGCUCACCAGGAUUGCUAAGGGAGAUGGCCUCCUACCUCCUCCGCCUGCCGGCCCGCCGCCUCCUCCGCCCCAGCAGCCGACGGCCCGGCCAGUCGGCGCCAUUCAAGAUGAGUAUCCUGCAGAGCACGGAGCCUAUGUCGUGUUCACUAGUGUGGCCGACGAUAGGCGCAGCAGACAGUAACAACAGCAAGAAGUGCACACAGUGGCCUCAAGCACCCCAGAGUUCAUGCAUUGGUCCGAGAAGCCCAUUAGCUGGAGCAGGGCCGACCAUAUGGAAGUAAUGCCUUCCCCAGGUUCCUACGCCUUAUUCCUGGAUGCCACCCUCGCAACAGAGAGGUGGGCUGCUCGUUUCUCCAGGGUCUUGGUAGAUGGCGGCAGCAACAUAAACAUCAUGCACUACAAGAAAUAUGUCAACUUAUGACCUUCUGUCAGUGACCCUGGAAGAAUUGGUCAUAGAUUUAUGACCAUUUGAGACCAAUUGGUCAAAAGCUGUUCGAGGGGCUCCAAACCCUAAACCAUUGCGACCAUUUUGGUCAGAAAGGUCAUAAUUUCCUUACAUGAAAUGGUCAUAAAGCUAACAGCGCUAGUCCGCUGCCUUAUUUCUAGUUGUUAACGACCAAUAUAGAUGGUCAUAGCCUUGUAAAUUGUGGUGGGUUGCUAUGACUAGGCGCCACCUCAUCAGUUUUGCCUAUGUGUCAUGUCCAUGUGGCAGUUUUUGCCCUAGGUUGUGAAGCAACCUAUAUUUCUGUCAUUCCCAAAAUUCCCAAAAAAAUCUCAUAAAUUCUUUGGGUCAUAUCUUCAUCAAAUAUGUAAAAACCUUCCUUGCCUAGUUCAAAAAUAAUUCAAAAAUAUUCAUUUUCCUAUUCUGUUCAGAGUAACAGUUUGUGAAGGAAGUACCACUUUGGCAUGUCCAAAUAGUAUCCAUUUUCUACAGUGCUUUCCUAUGCCCAAAUAACCAUCCUCCACCAAAUGCCAGCUCAAUCCAUUCAUUAUUCUGAGCUGAGAUUCAACAUUCGUAUUUAUGUCCAGUGUGGUGGUUUGCAAAGCAAGUACCACCUAGGCUCCUCCUUUUGAGCUGAAAAUUUGUGAAAACGGUCUUCUUAGUAACUAAUCAUCCUCAGCCAAAACUCACGCCCAUUAGCCAUGUACAUUUCCCGUACCGCUAAUCAAACACUUGGCUGCUAAUUCAUGUUUGAGCAUCGAUUGGUCUCCCCGUGAGAAUCUUAUGUUGUAAUUUUCUUCCUAGCACCAACCUGGGGAGUGCCAAACCCACUAGACAUGCCUAGGCCGCCCAGAACACAAGGCAACGCCACGGUCACGCGGUGACCACGCGGCGGGCUUGCGAGUUUACGCGCUCUAGAGUUGGGGCCCUCGGCCACCGCCCAAACCUCGAUGUAUCGCCACCAAACCAUGUAUUUAUGAUUAAAUAGGUCCUUAUGUAACUAGAAAUGAUUUUUUUGAAAAAAUAAAUAGCAAACUAUGAGGCAGCUGCAGUUCCAAUUUGACCCGCUUCCAACUGAAUCGACAGAAAUUUGUCUUUUUCACGAGAGGUGGAUGAAAAAAAUUUACACCAGACCAUUUUUUCAAUUGUGCAUUAAAUAUGGCCUAGUAUUUUAUAAAAAUGAUUUGGUCCAAUUUUGCAACAAUUAUUUGGUAGUUCCUUCACAAAAAAAACCUCCUUUCGGGCACUCGAAAAAUGGAAAAUGGUUUUUUCGUCCAACGAAAAUGAAAACUUCCUUAGGCAACAUUGUUUGCUAUUCCAAUAUGCACCCUUGUGCACAAUAUGCGAUCAUUUGAACAAACUAUGCCAUGAAUGUGGCCAUAAGAUUGAUCAUUUGGCUUGAAAGCCAUGAAUCUUCACACUUGAUAGCUCAUUUCUGAGAACACUUUUUUAAAAUAAUUACCGUAUUACAAGUUUAUUAUUUUCCUGGAAACUUGGUCACAUAUAAUGACACAAUGCGAAGGUUUUCCAAUUUUUUGAAUUUUUUAUGCCCGUUUCAAAAUGCGGUCAAAACGGCGGGCUUGACUGUUCCUAGCUAGUGGUUGAAUCUUGGAAUUUUUUUGGUGUUUCUAUGAUUAAAUAGGUACUUAUGUACCUAUAAAUGAUUUUUGGAAAAAAUAAAGAGCAAACUAUGAGGCAGCUAUAGUUCAAAUUUGACCCGUUUCCAACUAAAUCGACGGCAAUUUGUCUUUUUCAUCAGAGGUAGAUCAAAACUUUUUUCACCCAACCAUUUUGUCAAUUGUGCAUUAUAUAUGGCCUAGUAUUUUAUAAAAUUGAUUUGGUGCAAUUUUGCAACAAUUAUUUGGUAGUUCCUUCACAAAAAACCUCGUUUUGGGCACUUGGAAAAUGAAAAAUGAAUUUUCCGUGCAAAGAAAAUGAAAAAUUCCUUAGGCAACAUUGUUUGGAAUUCCAAGAUGUACCCUUGUGCACAAUAUGAGAUCAUUUGAACAAACUAUGCCAUGAAUGUGGCCAUAAGAUUGAUCAUUUGGCUUGGAAGCCAUUGAUCUCCACACGUGAUAGCUUGUUUCUGAGAACACUUUUUAAAAAUAAUUGCUGUAUUACAAGUUUGUUAUUUUUCCUGGGAACUAGGCCACAUAUAAUGACACAAUGCAAAGGUUUCCUAAUUUUUUGAUUUUUUUUGAAUUUUUUAUGCCCGUUUCAAAAUGCGGUCAAAACAGCGGGAAUGACCGUUCCUAGCUAGUGGUUGAAUCUUGGAAUUUUUUUGGCGUUUCUCUGAUUAAAUAGGUAGUUAUGUACCUAGAAAUGAUUUUUGGAAAAAAUAAAUAGCAAACUAUGUGGCACCUACAGUUCAAAUUUGACCCGCUUCCUACUGAAUCGGCGGGAAUUUGUCUUUUUCACCAGAGGUGGAUCAAAACUUUUGACACCCAAACAUUUUGUCAAUUGUACAUUAAAUAUGGCCUAGUAUUUUAGAAAAAUGAUUUGGUCCAAUUUUGCAACAAUUAUUUGGGAGGUCCUUCACAAAAAAACCUCCUUUUGGGCACUCGAAAAAUGGAAAAUGGUUUUUUCGUCCAAAGAAAAUGAAAACUUCCUUAGGCAACAUUGUUUGCCAUUCCAAUAUGCACCCUUGUGCAUAGUAUGACAUCAUUGGAACAAACUAUGCCAUGAAUGUGACCAUAGCAUUGAUCAUUUGGCUUGAAAGCCAUGAAUCUUCACGCACGAUAGCUCAUUUCUGACUUUUGGAAAAAAUAAAGAGCAAAUUACGAGGUAGUUACGGUUCAAAUUUGACCCGUUUCCAACUGAAUCUGCGGAAAUUUGCCUUUUUCACGAGAGGUGGAUCAAAUUUUUUUACACCCAACCAUUUGGUCAAUUGUGCAUUAAAUAUGUCCUAGUAUUUUAGAAAAUUGAUUUGGUACAAUUUUGCAACAAAUAUAUGGUAGGUCCUUCACAAAAAAACUACGAGCAAACUAUUAUUUUUUGUUUAAAUGGCUAAAAAAUGCUAGAAAUAUCGGAAAUGCAUACAAGUUGGUUAUCAUCCAGAAAAUGUUGUAUAACUUGAGUGAUAUUUUUUAGUGGUGCCAUUUUUGGAAAAAAAUAUUGGCAGUUGCUUGACAAAUUCCCUCUAUUUUUACCACUUAGAAACUAUUUUAAAUGAUACAUUUCUUGGACCAAUCAGAAGGCAGAACCUCCCUUCCCACGGAUCACCCCGCCUAAGCCGAUCUGAGCCGUCCACACCAUACAGAUCCAACGUCUCCUAAACGCACGCUGGCCAACCAAACCCUAGCAUCUUGCAGCACACUCCCCUCCCUCUCCCUCUCCCCGACCCAUGCGGCGCCGCCUCCCUCUCCCCGACCCAGAUCUCCCUCCCCGACCCAGACCUCCCUCUCCGCCGUCCCAACUCCUACCCCGCCGCCGGCCUCCCCCCANNNNNNNNNNNNNNNNNNNNNNNNNNNNNNNNNNNNNNNNNNNNNNNNNNNNNNNNNNNNNNNNNNNNNNNNNNNNNNNNNNNNNNNNNNNNNNNNNNNNNNNNNNNNNNNNNNNNNNNNNNNNNNNNNNNNNNNNNNNNNNNNNNNNNNNNNNNNNNNNNNNNNNNNNNNNNNNNNNNNNNNNNNNNNNNNNNNNNNNNNNNNNNNNNNNNNNNNNNNNNNNNNNNNNNNNNNNNNNNNNNNNNNNNNNNNNNNNNNNNNNNNNNNNNNNNNNNNNNNNNNNNNNNNNNNNNNNNNNNNNNNNNNNNNNNNNNNNNNNNNNNNNNNNNNNNNNNNNNNNNNNNNNNNNNNNNNNNNNNNNNNNNNNNNNNNNNNNNNNNNNNNNNNNNNNNNCUUCCCGCCGGUAGCAGCCAUGGAUGCCGUCGACUCCGUGGUGGACCCCCUCCGCGAGUUCGCCAAGGACAGCGUCCGCCUCGUCAAGCGCUGCCACAAGCCCGACCGCAAGGAUAAGGACCAAAGACUCGCGCCUGCUCGUCCGGAUCCGGUUCGUUUUCCUCUUUCACCAGAUCUGACGCUGAUUCGGCGCGCAGAGUUCACCAAGGUGGCGGCGCGGACAGCGAUCGGGUUCGUCGUCAUGGGGUUCGUCGGCUUCUUCGUCAAGCUCAUCUUCAUCCCCAUCAACAACAUCAUCGUCAGCUCCGGCUAGGUGCGAAUGCGUCUCCUCUGAUCCCGUCUCCCUCUUGUUUGCACGGUUUAGUUAGACUUGGGUCCUAUUGUCUCGCGCUGUGAUCUGUUGGAUCUGCGGUGUGCGUGCACAGUCCUGCGAUCUGACCAAUAUUUAGUAAGCUAGAUUUUAGUAGAUCCUUUUUUCCUCCAAAUAGACCUGCCAAUUUCUACCUUGUUAGGAGAAUUCGGAUGAGUCAAGGGUAAUCAGCUGUGGGGAACUGGGGUCAUGCUUAAGUCAUUGCCGCUAGUUGCCUCCGCAGGACGAAUUGGGGGCAUAGGUUGGUUCCUCACCACACAAUUUGGGAAAAGAGGAGCUUUUGCAAUGUUUCGCUGUUUCUGCACAUACCACUAGUUCGCCCAAGUUGGUGUCGAUUCAGUGCAUCUAAAUUGGCAACUACUGAGUAGACAGGUUACAUACCAAUGUUUGUCCAUGGUUCGUGCUAUGUGCCGAUGUAUUCUUCAUUCUUUAAUGCACCUGUGUUCACGCAUGGCCAGCUUUAUGUAUUCACAAUAUAAAGUUGAUCUAUACACGCAUGGCAAGCUUUUGUAAAAUAAGAAAAUAGGUAGGAGUCAAAAUAUUGUAGGACACGUGUUAUGCAGUGUUGAUCUAUACUUUAAUGCACCUGUGUUCACGCAUGGCUAGCUUUAUGUAGCAGUGUCGCGUGUGACCUCAAAAAAGGCUUUGAAAAUCCUGAUUGAAAAUGAAGAUGGUACUACUGAUUCUCAGACCAGGAACAUUGUGUUUCCUGAGCUCUUCCAAUCCAUUUCUUAGAAUCCAUGUCGGUGGUGUCUUCUACAAUAUGUGCAUUAUUCUAUUUACCAUGUUCGCUAUGGCCGACCAGUCUGUUCUAGAUGUUUCAUGUGGUCGUCCGAUAUGUGUGGUGCCAACUGCCAUUUCUUUGCUAGCUGAUGUCAAUAGUAUUUUGGUUCAUACAACUUAGUGCCUCAUAUAUGAAUGCUCUUUCUGGGGUUUUCAAUUUCUCUUCCCCCUAUCUUUUGCUGACUACACUGAUUAUAUGCCUGUUCUACACCGAUGCUCUUUUUUUUAUGCUGGUCCUAUGUCAUGGGUGUCAAUAUCUACUACCUAUUUACUGCUUGUUGUGCAAAAUCUUUUGGUUACUGUAAAUCAUUCCCUGCUGUAUAAAGUUUGGUUUUAGUCUGUUGCAUUUUGUUGGUUCCUAUCUUGUCAAUGUAUACAACAAUAUGCUUUCUUGGUGGCCAUUUGUGCUUCACAUUUUUUGGGUAUGCUACUUCUCUAAUGAGUGGGUGCGUCUCUUCUUUGUUUUAUCAUUCUAUAUUGUUUUCCUAACCUUUUUGGUAUUCUGCUUUCUCCUUGCAGAUGGCAAGCACCAUUUUGUUGGUUCCUGUCUUGCCAAUGUCUACAGCAAUGUGUGUGUCCUCUAUCUCAUCUGUGGCAUUACCGUAGGGCAACUCAUAAUGGGCCUAUCAAGCAUACUGACCCUGUGAUGAUAGAUAAAGAGGUUGAUUUCAGUGCCAUUCUGAUAAAUAUAGUUUUAGCCCUAUGAAUUGAAAAAUGAGUGCUUCUUGGUUGUUUCUGUUGUUAGUCCAGAAGAUUCUUGGUGCUUUUAGUGCAGUACUAUACUAUGCUCCUUGGCACUUCUUGCUGUGUUAACUAAAUGAUUUAGUCAUGCGCUUCAUAGAAGCAGUUUUAACUAAAUGUAAUGAACUAAUUAAGUGCCUUCUUUUAUUGUUGGCUAAUCCUUUGGUUUUAUCGUAUGCUACAUUCUACUCUCUCCGUUCGUAAAUAUAAGUCUUUCUAGACAUUUCAAAUGGGCUACAACAUACGGAUGUAUAUGAUGAUAUGCUACCACUCUAAUAAGUCCAGGCACUAUAAACCCUAUGAACUUAAUAAUGAUACUCUGCAUGCUAUGAGUAAAGUGCUCUAUUUUUGAAUUUGUGUUAUCUUUCUAAAGAACUUGUCCUUUUUUUGAAUGUUCUGUUCAUAAUAUAUUGGCUCCAGUGUUUUGAUUCUUCUCUUCCGAUUCAUGUAACAGGGCGACGGCCGAAGGCAUGAUGAUAGUUCUAUUGUUGUCCUAGUGUAGCGAAGGUAGCCUAGUCGACUAUGGUCGCGUAGUUAGUCAUGCAUACAGUUUCAUCUGACUGGAGCAAGAGCCCAGUUUGUGCUGAUUGUCAAUUCUCAUUGUGAUUGUCCCUAUAUCUGUGUGACUGAUUGUAUUUGUAUCUGUGUUGUAACUGUGUCAUGACAGAAGGAGCCCAGUAUAUUUGUAUGACUGUGAUUGAUUCUCGCUGUUGUUAUUUGAAAUAUUACUUGUGAUUUCUGUCUGUUCUUAUUUAAACAUGGUUAUUUAUUUCUGUCAAAUUGUCAAAUUGUAAUCUGAAUAAUAUGAUGCUACCAAAAGGGUCCCACUUUAAUAGAACCUGACAACUGGGACCCAUCUGACUAGUGGACCCUUCUUUUGGGAAAAAAGAAAAACUAAAUUCGUUUAGACAAAAAGGCCACAACCCAACAAUAAAAAGGCUGCAAUAUUGGGCUUGGCCCAUGUACCCAACCAAAAAUUGACAGACAAAAAAAAACAC